UUAAUAACGCUAAAAUGGGCGUAAUAAUUAACACUCAAAAAACCACAAGAUUGGAACGUCGGAAACAUUGGAAUUGGAACACCUCUUACAAUCUUCCCUCAGUGCUUUCCUAAAAUUCAUGGUUGUACAAAGUGGGUCAAACUUCAAAGCAUAAAAAUUAGGAACAUUUAACACAAUCUAAAAUGAUACAAUGAAAUUGUUCAAGUAUUUAUCAACAUGGAAAUAAAAAACUCAAUCCAGUUGAGGUCAACAUCUACCAAUUCUGAGCACAAUAAUAGAAAGGAUUAUAAUGGUGAGAAUCUUAUAAUGAAGAAACGUUAACUUUGGUUGGUGUAGGCAUAUACUUGUUAGACAAUUCUAUCCCUAACUUGUACGUGAGAUGUCGUAGAGAAAGAAAAAUCAAGCAAAUACUAAAAGCGAAAAUGAGGCAAAAGUAAUUAUUUUAGGAAUUAGAUAAUGGUUGCAUUUUUAUUGAAGAAAAGAAAAAGGCCACGAAUGUCAUUCUACAAAGUUAUAGAUGUGAAAAAGACGCACCUUCUAUUUUCAAAUUUGGACGCAUCUUAGUGAUGACUUCUGCCGAAUAUAUGCGAAGGUUCUUCAGCAUCCCUGCUCCAAAUAAGUACAUGGGGCACAUCUUGGAUGAUCCAGUGGUCUUCUCCUCCAUCGGGAGCAAUGCGCUGCUCCAAUUCAGUUGGCAUGGAGUGGAUUAUGAGAUCUUUAAGUUUCUCCAAGUGUUGAAUUCCAGAGGGAACGGUUUUGAGUUGGGAGAGGUCUGCUAAAGAAAUUUUUUCCACAGAACACAGUGCUCCUCUGUCGAUAAGGAUGCACUUCAACUUAUCCAAAUAUGCAAGGAACAGUAGCUUUAGUUUCUGAAACCCUCCACAUUGAAAAUGCAAAGUUUCACCUUCAUAAGCAUUGUGAGCGAAACAGAGGUACAUUAACCUUGGCAUAUUUUUUAGUGAUUUCAAUGCAUCAUUAGUCAACCUGGAGCCGCCCAAAUACAGUUGCACAAGAUUUGGGAACUGUGAAAUCCAAUUUGGCAACCUUGUUAACGUCCCACAUAGGACAAGCUUCCUAAGUGUAGACAUAGGUGACAUAAGGUACAAGUCAAUUACUUCACUCUCAUCAGCGGUACCAAUACGUAGUUUCUCCAAGAGUGACAUCUCAUUUAUUAAGGAACACAAAGUCUUUUCGUGUUUUCCCCUAAAUUCUACCACCGUCAGUUCCUUUAACUGCUUUAGCUUUCCUACCUCUCUAAUGACCACUCCAUCAUCAUCUAUUUUCACUGGAGGUACCUCUUGUAGGGAUGUCAUGCCUCCAAUACCAUUCCAUUGAAUUGAACAGCUAGAAUUAGCCAGAAGAUGACGUAGCUUUUUAAGCUUCGUAAUCUCCUCUGUCAUCUCCGACACAUAUGUGGCUCUUAUAUCCAAGGUCUCCAAAUUCUGGAGCUUACCAAUGGAUUUUGGAAGACUUUCUAUCCAUGUAUACUGGAAGCUUAAAUACUUCAAGUGGCAUAAAUUCCCCAAAUUUUCAGGAACAUAACUUAAAACAGAACCUUCAAAAUCAAGUACCUUCAAUAACAUGUAAUUUGUAGGGAUUUUGUUUACUAAGCGUUCAGAUAAUUUUUCAUACUUUCCUGUGAUGAUAAGAAUUGACCGAAUGGGUGAGCUUCCCAUACUUCCACAUAAAUCAUGGGUUGCAAUUGUCAGGCGUCGAACAAUCCCACUUGACAGAGAUUGAUCAAGCCCUCCAAUAUACUGACAAAACCCUGUAUCCAUGGCUUUUUUAAGUAUCAUGUCAUGUAUUAAGUCAUGAACACGACACCUUUUAACUUUGCCAUCAAUUCUAAGUGAGGAUACUUGCACCAAACUUCUACGGACCAACCCUGAUAAAUAUUGUUGCCCAACUUCUUCCAAAGUCUUUCCGGUUUCAUGUUUGACAAACCCUUCAGCUAUCCACUGUCUAAUCAAUCUAUCAGAUUUAACUUCAUAGUCCUCCGGAUACAUUCCAAAAUACAAUAAACAUGAUCUGAGAUUGAUCGGCAAAUCAUCAUAACUUAAACCUAAAAUUUUUUUUAUGCUAUUUAACUCAGAAUUCCUCUCCAAGUCUAAACUUAGAUCUCGACUAAACUGUCCCCAUUCAGGUGCACUUUCAUCUUUUUGAGACAAAAGACCACCAAUGGCCACUAUUGCCAGAGGUAAACCUUUACACUUUCUAACAAUUUCAAGAGAUAUCUCUUUAAGUUCUUCUGGACAAUCUCCAUCGGAACUAUACUGAAAUGCCUUCUUAUAGAACAAUUUCAAAGAUUCUUCUUCAGUUAAAGGUUUUUCUAGCUUAAACACCUCAACAAAUGAUGAUUUCCUACAAUAUUCUGCAACCUUCUCAUCCCUGGUUGUGAUUAAUAUCCUACUUCCAUUUUUAUUAUCAAUUACAGCAGAUUCAAUGUGAUCCCAAAAUUUUCCAUUCCAUACGUCAUCAAACAAGACAACAUACCUCUUGUUGCGCAAGCGGUUUCUGACUUCUUCUGUCAACGACUCAAUGGUAGAAACAUCCUUGGGAGGGUCCUCCUUAUUUUCUUUGCAAAGCUCAUUCAACAUAUGCCUCAGCAAUCCUUCAGAAGAGAAGGAUUGAGAAACUGUGAUCAACGCAUUGCAGUCGAAUUUGUUACGCACCUGGUCAUAAACUUGCUUGGCAAGAGUGGUUUUUCCCACCCCUGCAAUUCCCACCACAGAGAUGACAGUGCGUAUUUUUCUUCCCUUAGUCAACCAAUUUUCCAAUAUACCUCUAGGGCCAUCAAGCCCCACAACCUCAUCUUCCUCAAUAAAGAGAGGAUCCCUUCUAAGUUUCUGCCAUGUGAUAUCUUGAUUUCCUCUAGAACUGGUUUGUCUUUGCUCUAAAGGAAAAUGGGUUUGGAAACCAUCUCUUUCAGCACGAACAAGGGAUUUAACAUCCUGAAUCUUAUACGCACUUUGAAGGAGAAGGAUUUGAGUUUUGAUGAAGGCAACAGCCUCACAUAGUAAAGCUGCACAUCGAGGAUCAUCAGGUUGCUUAUCCUCACAGGAGAUGUUAUAUUCAUCGAUGACAUCUUCCAUGCGAAAAGCUGCUUCUCUCAGCCGCAUCACCCUUUCUUUUAUUCUAUGACGCCUUCCAUCAUCUUCUUCGGCUUCAGCCACUUUAUCAGCAUCAUUGAUGAAAUCUUGAAAGCUUUCAAGUUCAUCUGUAAUGUCUCUAACUUCUUUUGGGAGAUCUCUCAAAAUUUUGAAAGCUUCCAAUAUUUUUGGAAGCGCAUGCUGACCAGCCAAGGACACUGCAGUUUCUGCCAUUUUAGUCUAGCUAGCUAGCUCUGUUUUUUAGGUUUGUUGAGUGCAAAACUUGAUGCUCUUCAACAUUAUAUAUAGCCAUGUCCGUAGUAAGAGGAGGACAAUUGAUUAAUAUUUAAUAUUCUUUGAUUCAGCAAGUUGGAUGUAUUGUUAAUUUAUAAAGUAGUUAUUUAUUCCAAUGUAUUGAAAUAUUCCAUUAUGGUUGUUGAACCAAUUAAUACGAAAACGCCAAAGUAAUAUUGGUUUGAGUCAUAAUAUUUUGCAUUUCCACGUUGAAGUAUCAUCCACGUUUGAGUCAUAGAUAUGACCAGCGCUAGUUUCAGACAAAGCUGAACGUGUAUUCCAGCUACCCAAUUUGCCAUUGUUAAUGUUAAUUAUUUGUCACCGUAUCCAUACCAUAUCACGCUACCCAAUUUUUAAAUAAGGACGAAAACUAAUUAGGUUAGAAAAAACUAAUUAUUCGAUUCAAAUGAUGGUUGUCGGUUUUAUUUUUUAAGGAUAUAUAUUUAUUUUAUUUACCUUGCAAACAUUAUUUUAAUUCAUAAAAUUAUUUCUCCUUAUUUAUUUAAUCACUAAAAUCUUAUUACUUUUUUAAAAAUUUAUUUAUUUUUAAGUGAAAAAAAUUUAAUUUAUUUUACGAAAAAUUGAAUGUUACAUUCUCCAUUGCAUGUCACCCAUGAUGAGUGAUUAAUAAGUUUGUCCCAUGCAUUGAUUAAUAAGUUUGUCGCAUCCUUUUUAAUAAGUUUGUCUUAUAUUUAUAACAUUUUUUAAUAUUGUCCUUGUAAUUAUACUUCUCUCUUGUCUAAUGGUUUGUCAAUACAUUCUCUAUUUUUUUAAUGAUGGAUAUUUUUAGUCUAAAAAUAAUUAAUGAAAAAAAUAUUAUAGAUUGAGUUUUAUAAAAUAGAAUAAAUAUCAUUUUAAAAGUCUUAUAAAUAAAAAUGGAGACAAAAUAAUUAAUUUCAACUAAUAAAAAAUAGAGUUUGGAUGGCCUUAGCCUUGGGUCGACCCUGCCAUUGCUGAAAAGAGUAGGGAAAAACUCUUUGAAUACCUUUUAACCAUGAUCCAGAGUAAAAGAUGGUGUCCUUCAACACAACUUGAGUGUCAAAUAAAUGUUGCUCCCCUAAAGACGAUCGAGUUUGUUAGGUUCACACAGUGAACCUCCUGGGAUUCGAGGUCCAGGAAUGCCUCCUUAGAAGAGAGAAAGGGAGAAGAAAUUGCUUUUUUUAUUCCUUUCUUGAAUGGAGACGAUGAUAUUUAUAACAUGCCAUAACAAAAACAACCCCAGCACUAUGAUUCUAACAGAGUUGCCCCUCAGCACUAAGAGCCUAACAGAAUUCACUAAAAAACAUAAUCCUCUCAGUGAGUCAUUAUCUACCUACCUCUUCCUGUUAGAGUUUCCUCUGUUUCCAUAUAUUCCAAACCAAAGCAGCCCAUACAACUCACCAUCUCUCACCGUGAAUACCAUUUACUAUAAUAUAUAAAAUUUUGACACUUACUAUCGAUUCUUCUUAGUUGUUUUAUAAUUUGAGUUUUAUUUUUUUUAUCUAGAUCUGAUUUGGCUUUUUUAUGUAAUUUAUCUUUUGUUUUCUUGUUGUUUAUAGAUUUUUUUUUCAUCAGAUAUUUGUUAUAGAUCAUCAUUUCGUGGCUCCUCGUGUUUUCCAUGUUUUCUUUUAGGUCAAGUGUUUUUUCCAAUCCAUUUGAUUGACACUAAUCUUACUCACUGUGGAUAAUUGUCGUUAGUCCAAGACAAUUUCACACAUGAAAAAAAAAACACGAUCUUCCUAUUAUGUUGAUUAUUUGUGUUAAUCUAAUGAUUAUUUUCCAUGCAUUUUGAUUUAAAGGAAAUAUUUAACAAUAACAACAACAAUAUAUAUAUAUAUAUAUAUAUAUAUAUAUAUAUAUAUAUAUAUAUAUAUAUAUCACAACAUAAAUUAUUUGAUUGAUUUAAAUAUUCACUUAAAAUAUUUAAAUAUAAAACAUUAUAAUCGUAUUUGAAAUGUAAUUUUAUAGUUUUCAGAGAUCCUUUUAUAAUAUAAUGGAUUUAUAUAAUAUUCUUUCGAUUUCUCAUUUAUUGUUCUAUUUAACCUUUCAAUAAUUCAACACAAACAAUUGAUUUAUCAAUGGUGAUUUAUUUAAUAAAUUAAUUGUUGAAUCUUUAUGAUUAGAAUAAAAUAAUCUUUAAAUUUAUUCAAUCAAUCAAAUAUUAUUAUUUUAAAAACACUUUACAUUUUGAUUCUCAUUAAAAAAUUAUAAAAAUAUAAUAUAAUUCUCAAUAUCACGUAACUCUUUAAUUUUUAAAAACUUAUUAUAUAAAUAAUUUUAAGAAUAUUUAUGAUCAACUAAAAAAAAUUACUUAUAUCUGUGAAUCAUGAUUCAAGGACUCAUCAUUUUAGUGUGUGAAAAAAAAAAUUCCCUACCAAAUGCUCCAUUCUAUUUACACAUUUAUUUUAUUUUUAGAGGUAUAAUGUUAAAGCUACUGAUUAUAUUGUUUUUCUCUUGUAAAAUAUAACUUUAAUUUCUUAUAUAUGUGUAAAUGUCAAUAGUUUUGUUACUCAACACCAACCAAAUAAACUAUAAUCCAUGAUAAAAGAAAAUAGGUUUGAAAAAAAAUUAAUUUAAGAAGUAUGAGGAACCUUCCGAUGACUGCCAAGAACGCCACCACGAGCGGUCCUGACGCAACGCGAUGCAGCCGUCACCCAUGGCGGAGCAUCACCUUCUUUGUCGUCAUCUCCACCACGGUGCACACACCGUGAAGCACAAAAAAGCACAUGACUUCCCACAUGGGAGUAACACGUGUGAGGUAAUGGGGAGUAGAAAAAGGGUAACCAUGAGAUUCCACCUAGGACCCCAAAGUCUUGAAGGGAUGUGAAAAGGCAGGGUUCAUUGAAUUGUGGUUCAAUCUCAAACCCUAAAAGGGUUCGAAUCGGGAUAGCACUAAGGGCUAACAAAAGUUCUAUGCCAAGGUACAUGUGAUAGCAAUAGAGGACUAAGAUGAAAUGAGGGUGCAACUUUUCUCUAUAGUCAUAAGCACGUAUGAUCAUUGCAAAAAUAAGCACUUUUAGGAGCAAAAGCCAUUUUGGCUUUUGGGUGUUGUUUGUGUGGUUGUUUUUGGUUGGUGAGUGUUGUUUGGGGUUGAUGGGGAGGGAAGCUAUGGAAAUGAAAUGGAGAAUGUUUGGGGGUGAUAGGGCAAGAGGGCCUUGGUUGAAGGAGAAAAGAAUGAGUUUGAAAUUGUCAAGCCAAACAAGGAAGAAGGUGGUGGGGCCACCUAGGUGGAAGGAAGAGAGGUUGAAGGGAAGGGAGAGGAAGAGGUAGAGAAUAGGGAGGAGGGAGAGAAGCCUCAUGAAGCCUUUUGGUAUUCUAGAGGCUAUGUAAUAACAAUAGGAUAGACAUGAGAUGGUUGUGAGCCAUACCUUGAUGAACCUCUCAACUUCACCAUCCAUGAUUGAUUUUCUUUUCUCCCAUUUUUCUCUUUCUCUUUUUCUUCUUUGAAUCUAGGUGGUUGUAGGUGUAAGCAAUGUCAAGGAAAAUGAUGACUAAUGUUGGUAGAUCUAAGGAUCUCUCAAAGGUGAAAUACAAAAAAGGGAAUUGUAAUUUUGAUGGAACCCUGAUUGACAGAUCAAAUUUUUAGCAUUAACAAACUGGAUAACCAAUUUGGGACUCUAUGAAAUUGGGGAAAAUAAAAGGAUAAAGCAGACUUAGAGAAAGAGAUGGAAAAAACAAUAGCACAAUCUUGAGAGAUUGAUAAGCUGAGGGUGAUUCGUCAUAAAGAAUAAUUUUUUUAUAUAAGAACUUAAUAUUUCACAUUAGAAUCAAGAUAGACAUUCUUUUAACUGUGUCUAACAUGAAGUUUUCAUCAAAAUUGCCAACAAAGUGAGAGUCUUUUAAUAACUCUUACUAAUAAUCCUAAAUUAUGCCCGAGGCCCAAUAACUAAUAUAAUAAUUAAAAGACUUAAAAAUAACAAUAAAAAAGCUAGCAGUCCAUUACAAGUCCAAAAAUAGGUCCAAGAAUGUAAUCAAAAAUGAAAAUAAAUACUAUUCUAAAAGUUGACUAAAAUAAAUAAAUUUCACUCCUCCUUCUCUUUCCUCCGUGAGAUAAAUUUAGUCUUUUGCUAAGCUCUUAAAAUCUAUAAUCAGUCCUCGCUAAAGUCCAUUUAAGUCAAACUCUUCCCCUUUGAUAGUCCUUUAUCAAAUUUUUAAUUCAUUCUUUUCUUUUCGAUAAUAGGUGAUAAAAGAGACUUUUGGAUGCAAGUGGGACAUGUUGCUUAAACUAUUAUUUAUUUAUUUUUUUCAUGAAUCCUAUAUCGCAUCACAAUUUUUAUUUAUUUAGUAGUGUAGCUCUAAAAAUAUAUUAGUUGCAGUAUUUAAUAUUUUAAUUUUCUUGCAUUUUCCCCCUCAAAUUUUUCUCUUUUUUUACCCAUUACAAUGAUUAUUACACUAAUCACCUUUCUUUCUUUCUUUCUCUCACGUAGAAGUUACCCAGGUAACUUUCAAACGUAACAACUUCGAUAUUUUUCCGGCCACCUCAUUUGCUCGGUCGGAAGAAUAUAUCAAGCUAUCGUUUUCUCUUUUUGGAAAAUGGGGAAGGUACGUAGAAGAGUAAGGAAGAGGUGAUAAUUAAAAAGAACAAAUAAGAAGAAAAAGCAAUUGAUGUAAUAAAUAAUAAUAUAAAAAUAGAUGAAAAUAUUGUUUAUUAAUAUUAACUCCCGUUUCUUAUUUAAAAAGGUUGCUCGUAAUCUGCAACUGCUGGCUUAGUGGCUUUAACUCCAUGACAUUGACAACUACUAAGCAACCGUCAAGCUUAUGGUAGCGACUCAAAAGAAAGUAUGACGGGGUAUUCAAUAACAAAUAAAAUUAGAUGAAGCAAUUAAUGCUACAGAUCAGUUAUAUUUAUAAUCAAAUUUGAUUUUUCUUAAUAAAUACUUAUUGGCUAAAGAAUAAAAUUAUGUGGCCUUAAAAUUGUAGGCAUUCUUUUACUGUGCUAGCUACUGACUAGUGUAAAAUAACAGUGGGAAAAUAUAAUAGAUGAAAAUUAAAAUGAAAAAAAAAAAAAACUUCAAGAACCCUUGUAUAUGUGCAAAAUGUUAGGAGUUGGUGGUUGAAUAAAUGAAAAUUAAAAUAAAUGACUUCUUUAGUUAAAUUGUGAUGUAAAAUUGUUUUAACUAUUGACAUUCUUAAAAAAAAAAAUACUAAAAUUUAAUUUAAAGAUGAAAUAAUAAAUUUUUAAAAAAUAUGUUGUUGGGAAAAUAAAUAAAACAAGGUAGUUUGAAAAUGUCAAACACUUGUAGAAUAAUUGUUGUAGUAGUGCAAAUUGCACUUCUAAAAGAGAGAACAGAUAUGUUACAAAUAUUCCAUGACCGGCCAAGAGAGUGAAUGCCUUAGUCUACAUUUAAAGGGAAUGUUAAGGUGUCUAAUUGAAUAAUGAGGAGUGAAAGCCUCAUUCUUCAAAUAGUGGACUCUGAUUUAUCAUAUACUUGUAGGUGGUACAACGUAUCUACCCACUCCAAGGUCUUGCAUAUACAGAUCACCAAAAAAUGAAAAAACCUAAAUGUUCUUUAGGAAGGAAAUAGAGACCGAAGAUUUAGCAUACAGCAUACACCAAAAAAAAAAAAAAAAACCCUAUGAUUUCUGCAGAUUAAGGCAUACAGCAAUUUUAUGCAAAAGUAGAAGAGGAGAACAAAAAAAUGGACAUUCAAACUACCCAUUGAAUCGGUCUGCUGAAUUCUGGCGUGAAUACAUAUGGUGAGAACCAGCUGCAAAACCUGGCAUCCUACUCCCAUAUCCAGGUGGGAGGGCACUACGUUCAAAAGCACCGUUUCUACCAACUAUAGCAUGUUCAGACCCCAAAGGAUCCAUCCUUGCAUGGUUUAAUUCGUCUAGGCGAGGUGCAUAUCGCUGCAUGGCUGGUGUAUUCAUCACAUAAGGCUCAGAUGCUAAAGCAAGGGCUGGAUAACUUGGCCCCAUGUGGUGGCUAUUAGCAGGAUCAUGCACAGAUAGAUAAUUACUCAUCACAGAAUUAGGAUUCUGAAUACCAUAAUGGCGAGUCUGUUGCCUUGUCUCUAAUUCCCUAAGGUAGUUCUCAUCCUCCCUGACAUAGGGUCUAUAUCCGACGCUAUUGGCGAUGUCUCUUGGAAGGCUGCUAUGGUGUUCACCUACAUCUGUAAUCCCAGAAUCAUAAAGGGGAUUGGCAACACUUGGCCAAUUUUGGGUCCCGCUAUAGGCUGCCCUAAUCCCCCCCAUACGUGAGGAAGAGUGGUGGUGGCUUUACAUUCCACUGAUCUAUCUGCCUGUCGUUUGCAUCAACUGAUCCCGGUAGAUAAAAUGACUUAAAAGGACAAGAACAUGGAAAAAAAAUAAAGACAACAGUCACAACAAUACAGAGUAUGUAUCAAUCAAAAUACAAAUUACCACAAGAUAUUAUUAAUAUUUAUUUACCUUGCCCAAUAGAAACCUCUUACAUAAUAAUCCGGACUAGGAGGACUAGCUGCUCAUGAUCAAAACAACACUAACAAUCCUAGAUAAAAUAAAUAUAAACAUACCAAUAAUUAGGAACAAUGAUCAUAAUCCAUUCUAGCGAUGUUGUUUAAGUUCUUCAGGUCUUAAAAGCCCUCAAGGUUGUCUUAAAUUCGUAAAAGAUAAGAAUGAAACUCAAAAUAAUUGAAAAAUAAUUUUUACACAGUCUAGAAACCUAUAUAUAGCUUCCUAAAGAUAUUUGCUCGAAAAGAAGCACUACAGCCGUGGUUAGCUGAAGCCUUGAACCAUUAUAGAUUGACUAUGACCCCCUUGAUUUACCAUGAUCAUGGUCAAUUUACCACGGCUAUUGUUGGAUCUUGACGCUGUUUGGGAGGACUGUUAUCACUUUAUUGUGAUCAUGCUGAUUACCACGACCUUGAUCAAUGUACCACGAUAAUAAUCAAGUUACGUAAAAUUCUUAAAUCUUCAUAAAUAUGUACAAUUUCCUACUCUUUCACUCAAUUGAGUGGUUAUACUUCUGGAAUAUAAAACUAGUGUUCAAAUGUGAAUUCUACCUAGAAAAUGCAUACAAAAUAACACAAAAGUUUGUACAAAAUAUCACUCAGAAAGUGAUUUAUCAAUAACUUGUAACAAUCCCAUUUUAGAAAACAUUGUUGUGUUGUUUUAUGAGUUAAAAUAUGUUUCUGAUCAAAAAGAGUUUUGAAGUUUUCAAACAUCAAGGAAUAAAAGGGAAAAAAAGAGUGAAUAAAAAAAAAACUAGGCAAGUAAAUUGAAUAUUCUAAAAUUCACUAAAAUUUUCAAAUAAAUUAUGAAUGAGACAAAAAGAUAAAAUUAAGCCUUGAAAAAUUUAUCUUACUCCAAAUAAGUGAUAUAUAAAUUGAGUUUAAUAAUAUAUAUUGAACCAUUAAAUUUUUUUGAAAAUAUGGGAUCAAAUCUGAACAUAAAAGUUUGGGUACCAAAAUUGCUGAAGCACUAUGCUAAGAGGAUUAGAGUGCUAAGCCAAAAUCAAACAUGUCUUGUUACAGGACGAGUUCACCCCAAGCUUAACAUGUACAACCCAAAUUUUCACUCCAAUUCAAGUUCUAGAAGCAUAAUCGGAAACUGAAUUUAUUAUUUACUAUUGUAAUUGAAGGUGAAUAUAUCUUAACUCAAAAACUCUUUUCUGCAAUUGAAAAUUCUAAAUCUUUAGAAUUUCUCAAUUAGGGCAAUCAUUAGGUUCAAGAAUAUCUAAAUUAUCGUAAUUGUUGAUAUUUAUUCCUAUAAAAUAUACAACCUUGUUGCAUUAUAUCUUAAACUUAAUCCUUAUUUCAAUUUCACAGUUGUCGAUAGGAAUAUACGAUAACGCACUAUAAGUGACCAAAUGCCAAUUUAUAAAGGCAUUAAAUUAAAACAUAGACAAACAAUCAAUUUAAAAGAAAUGAACUUAAAUUAUAGAUAAGAAUUCAAAUUACAUCAAGUUAACAAAAAUUGAGGUACACAUUUUAGAAAAAAGGGAAACAAGAGAAAGAGAAGAAGGAAGCUUAAAAAAUUAAUUUGAUGAAUCUUGCACUUUGAUGGCUCAAAUCCACUCAUCCACCAUUUCACGGGCCGCAAAAGAAAGAACUUGAGGGAAUCUUGAGUUUUCUGGUUGUCAAAAAUUGUCUGCCUUUGUAGGAACACUAUUUUCAGCUUCUUCGUAUUGUGUUGGUGUUAAUAACGCUAAAAUGGGCGUAAUAAUUAACACUCAAAAAACCACAAGAUUGGAACAUCGGAAACAUUGGAAUUGGAACACUCUUACAAUCUUCCCUCAGUAUUUUCCUAAAAUUCAUGGUUGUACAAAGUGGGUCAAACUUCAAAGCAUAAAAAUUAGGAACAUUUAACACAAUCUAAUUUAUGAAAAAAAUCGACAUUAUUGGGCUUCAAUCGUAAUGGAACUUUAAAAACCCACAAUAUUUACACGGAAUAUAUGCUUACAACCCUAUAAAAACACCAAGUUAAUUUCUUCUUAAAAUGAUACAAUGAAAUUGAUCAAGUAUUUAUCAACAUGGAAAUAAAAAAACUCAAUCCAGUUGAGGUCAACAUCUACCAAUUCUGAGCACAAUAAUAGAAAGGAUUAUAAUGGUGAGAAUCUUAUAAUGAAGAAACGUUAACUUUGGUUGGUGUAGGCAUAUACUUGUUAGACAAUUCUAUCCCUAACUUGUACGUGAGAUGUCGUAGAGAAAGAAAAAUCAAGCAAAUACUAAAAGCGAAAAUGAGGCAAAAGUAAUUAUUUUAGGAAUUAGAUAAUGGGUGCAUUUUUAUUGAAGAAAAGAAAAAAGCCACGAAUGUCAUUCUACAAAGUUAUAGAUGUGAAAAAGACGCACCUUCUAUUUUCAAAUUUGGACGCAUCUUAGUGAUGACUUCUGCCGAAUAUAUGCGAAGGUUCUUCAGCAUCCCUGCUCCAAAUACGUACAUGAGGCACAUAUUGGAUGAUCCAAUGGUCUUCUCCUCCAUCGGGAGCAAUUCGGUGCACCAAUUCAGUUGGUAUGUCGUUGAUAUAGAGAUCUUUAAGCUUCUCCAAGUGUUGAAUUCCAGAGGGUACUGUUUUGAGUUGGGAAAGGUCUCGUAAAGAAAAUACUUCCAAAGAACACAGUACUCCUCUGUCGAUAAGGAUGCACUUCAAUUGAUCCAAUAAUAUGAGUUGCAGUGUCUUUAGUUUCUGAAACCCUCCACUUAGAAAAUUCAAAGUUUCACCUUCAUAAGCAUUGUCACUUAAAACGAGGAACAACAACCUUGGCAUAUUUUUUAGUGAUUUCUGUUAGAUAUUAAUUAGAAAAAAAUAAUAACAAGUUUUAUGAGCCUUAAAUUGUGAAAGAUGAAAGUUGUAAAGUUAUAAGUUACAAAGUCUUGAAUAAGCAAUUAUGUGAGCAUUCAGUAUUCUUGAAUAAGCAAUUAUGUGAGUAGUCACUCUAUUCUAGUAUAAAUAGGGGAUCAUACUCUUGUAUUUUGUGUGGCAAAUGAAAUAAAAUCUUCUUGUUAGGUUCUUCAGAUGCAUGGGAGAUUGUAGAGAAAGGUUAUACCCAACCUCAAAAUGAGGCUAUUUUGUCACCAAAUGAGAAGGAGACUUUGUUGAAGUCGAAGAAGAAGGAUCAACAAGCACUUACUUUCAUUCAUCAAGGUUUGGAUGAAGCUAUGUUCGAGUUGGUGUCAAAUGUAACCACAUCCAAAGAAGCAUGGGAGAUUUUGAAAACCUCCCUUGAAGGUGUUGAUAAGGUAAAAAAGGUGCGCCUACAAACUCUACGUAGAGAGUUUGAAUCAUUGCAUAUGAAGGAAUCCGAAUCUAUCUCAGAUUUUGGCAACAAGGUGUUGGCUAUUGUGAACCAAAUGAAGCGUUAUGGAGAAAAUAAUGAAGAUGUUCGUGUGGUGGAAAAGAUCCUUCGCUCCUUAAUCGCUAAAUUUGAUUCUGUGGUUUGUGCUAUUGAAGAGUCUAAGGAUUUAGACUCAAUGACCGUAGACCAAUUGAUGGGUUCUCUUCAAGCCUAUGAAGAAAGGUUCAAUAGAAGACAUGAUGAGCCAUUGGAGCAAGUCCUCAAAGCCAAAGCUUCUUUGAAAGAAAAUGGAGGAGAAAGUAGUCAAAGAGCACGUGGACAUGGAAGAGGACGUGGUCGUGGACGUGGUCAUGGCCAAGGGAGAGGAGGAAGAGGAGAUCGUGAUAAUUUUGACAAUAAUGAAUGGAGGAGCCAUCAAUCCACUAGAAGUCGUGGAAGAGGAAGAGGUAGAAACAAUUAUGAAAAAGCAUAUGAAAGGAGGUAUGAUAAAUCUAAUGUUGAACGUUUUAAUUGUCAUAAAUAUGGCCAUUACUCUUGGGAGUGUAGAACAAAUGUUGAAGAGAAGGUCAAUCUUGUUGAUGAUAAAGAAGUUGAAGAGCCAACACUACUACUAUCACUUAAUAAUGGUGAGAAGGAAGACAAAUGCUUAUGGUAUCUUGACAAUGGAGCAAGCAAUCACAUGUGUGGAUGCAAAGAGAAAUUUGUGGAAGUUGAUGAGAAGGUGAAAGGAAAUGUUUCUUUUGGAGAUUCUUCCAAGGUGCAAAUCCAAGGAAAAGGUACCAUUUUAGUUUCUUUACAAGAUGGUGCUCACAAAUUAAUCACGGAUGUUUAUUAUGUUCCUAAACUAAAAAGCAAUAUUUUGAGUUUGGGACAACUUGUUGAAAAGGGGUAUGAAAUUCAUAUGAAAGAUUGUUGUUUAUGGCUUUGAGAUCAAAAUUCUAAUUUGAUUGCCAAGGUGUUUAUGUCAAGAAAUAGAAUGUUCACUUUGAACAUUAAAACCAAUGAAGCAAAAUGUUUGAAGGCUAGCAUAAAAGAUGAAUCAUGGUGUUGGCAUAUGAGAUUUGGGCACUUGAAUUUUGGAGCACUAAAAUCCUUAGGAGAGGAGAAGAUGGUGAAAAGGAUGCCUCACAUCAACCAUCCUAAUCAAUUGUGUGAAGCAUGUCUCCUUGGAAAGCAUGCAAGAAGGAGUUUUCCAAAAGAAGUUAAUUCAAGAGCAAAGGAGCCUCUCCAACUUGUUUACACUGAUGUGUGUGGCCCAAUCAAUCCUCCUUCAUGUGGUAACAAUAAAUAUUUCUUGCUUUUUAUUGAUGAUUAUAGUAGAAAGACUUGGGUUUAUUUUCUAAAGCAAAAAUCUGAGGCAUUUGUAGCUUUUAAAAAUUUUAAAGCUCUUGUGGAAAAGGAGAGUGGUUAUGUAAUCAAAGCUCUAAGAUCCGAUAGAGGUGGCGAAUUCACAUCAAAAGAAUUUAAUGAAUUUUGUGAAAAAUAUGGGAUUCGUCGCCCUCUAACGGUUCCUAGAUCUCCACAACAAAACGGGGUAGCGGAGAGAAAAAAUAGAACUAUUCUUAAUAUGACUAGAUGUAUGUUGAAGGCUAAAAAUAUGCUAAAGGAAUUUUGGGCCGAAGCUGUUGCAUGUGCCGUUUAUUUGUCCAAUCGCUCCCCAACAAAGAAUGUCAAAGAUCAAACACCACAAGAAACAUGGAGUGGAGUGAAGCCAAGAGUUGAUCACUUGAGAGUAUUUGGGAGCAUUGCAUAUGCUCAUGUACUCGACCAAGGAAGAUUCAAGCUUGAUGAUCGGAGUGAGAAUCAUGUGUUCAUUGGCUAUGAUGCAAGUUCAAAAGGCUACAAAUUGUACAAUCCAAACAAUGGAAAGACAAUUGUGAGCCGAGAUGUCGAGUUCUAUGAAGAAGGCACAUGGAAUUGGGAGGAGAAAGAAGACACUUAUGAUUUUUUCCCGUACUUUGAAGAAAUAGAUGAAGAAGCCUUGACUCCAAAUGAUUCAACUCCAGCUCUUUCACCAACUCCUUCAACCAAUGAAGCCUCAUCAUCUUCCGAAGGGAGUUCAAGUGAAAGACCAAGAAGAAUGAGAAAUAUUCAAGAAUUAUAUGAUGAAACUGAAGUUAUAAAUGAUUUGUUUUGUCUUUUUGUUGACAGUGAACCCAUAAACUUUGAUGAAGCAAUGAAAGACAAAAGGUGGAGACAAGCCAUGGAAGAAGAAAUCAAAGCCAUUGAGAAGAACAACACUUGGGAGUUAUCAAGCCUUCCUAAAGGUCAUGAAGCAAUUGGAGUCAAAUGGGUGUUCAAAAUCAAGAAGAAUGCAAAAGGAGAGGUUGAGAGACACAAAGCAAGACUUGUAGCUAAAGGCUACAAGCAACAAUAUGGAGUUGAUUAUGAUGAAGUGUUUGCACCGGUUGCCCGCAUGGAGACCAUUCGUCUUCUUAUUUCCUUGGCAGCUCAAAUGAAGUGGAGAAUUUUUCAGCUUGAUGUAAAAUCGGCAUUUCUAAAUGGCUAUCUUGAAGAAGAUGUCUAUGUUGAACAACCAAUGGGUUUUUUCAUCGAAGGUCAAGAAGGAAAAGUCUUGAAAUUGAACAAGGCGUUGUAUGGUCUAAAGCAAGCACCGAGGGCAUGGAAUACUCGCAUUGACAAGUACUUCCAAGACAAUGGGUUUGUUCAUUGUCAAAAUGAGUAUGCUCUUUAUGUUAAAGCUUUUAAUAAUGGUGAUGCCUUAUUUAUUUGUCUUUAUGUGGAUGACCUUAUCUUUACCGGCAAUAACCCAAAUUUGUUUGAAGACUUCAAGGAGUCCAUGUCUCGUGAAUUUGAUAUGACAGAUAUGGGACUCAUGUCAUAUUACUUGGGAGUGGAAGUGAAGCAAACGGAGAAUGGUAUCUUUGUCUCACAAGAAAGCUACACAAAAGAAGUGUUGAAGAAAUUUAAUAUGCUUGAUUGCAAUCCCGUGAACACACCUAUGGAAGGUGGCUUGAAGUUAUCAAAGUUUGAUGAAGGAGAGAAGGUAGACUCCACGGUCUUCAAGAUUCUUAUGGGGAGUUUAAGGUAUCUAACCAAUACAAGGCUCGAUAUUCUAUAUGCGAUGGGAGUUGUGUGUCACUUUACGGAGGCUCCUACCUCUCCUCAUCUAAAGGCCGCAAAAAGAAUUCUUCGUUACUUGAAGGGUACAAUUGAUUUUGGAUUGUUUUAUUCUCCCUCCAAUAACUAUAAGCUUGUGGGAUUUUGUGAUAGUGAUUUUGCCGGAGAUGUUGAUGAUAGAAAAAGUACUACUGGAUUUGCAUUUUUUAUGGGUGAUUGUGUUUUUACAUGGAGUUCUAAGAAGCAAGGCAUUGUGACACUUUUUACUUGUGAAGCCGAGUAUGUAGCUGUAACUUCUUGCACAUGUCAUGCCAUUUGGCUAAGAAGAUUGUUGGAGGAACUUCAGUUGUUGCAAAAGGAAAGCACAAAGAUCUAUGUUGAUAAUAGAUCUGCACAAGAGCUUGCCAAGAAUCCGGUGUUCCAUGAACGAAGUAAGCAUAUAGAUACAAGGUAUCAUUUCAUUAGAGAGUGCAUUACCAAGAAAGAAGUAGAAUUGACUCAUGUGAAAACUUAAGAUCAAGUUGCGGAUAUUUUCACCAAGCCUCUCAAAUUUGAAGAUUUUCGAAGAUUUCGAGCAAGACUUGGUGUGCAAAAGAAUUUUUCCAAUUAAGGGAGGAUGUUAGAUAUUAAUUAGAAAAAUAAUAAUAACAAGUUUUAUGAGCCUUAAAUUGUGGAAGAUGAAAGUUGUAAAGUUAUAAGUUACAAAGUCUUGAAUAAGCAAUUAUGUGAGCAUUCAGUAUUCUUGAAUAAGCAAUUAUGUGAAUAGUCACUCUAUUCUAGUAUAAAUAGGGGAUCAUACUCUUGUAUUUUGGUGUGGCAAAUGAAAUAAAAUCUUCUUCUUCUUCCAAUAAUUUCAAUGCAUCAUUAGUCAACCUGGAGUAGUAAAAAUACAGUUGCACAAGAUUUGGGAACUGUGAAAUCCAAUUUGGCAACCUUUUUAACUUCCCAAAUAGGACAAGCUUCUAAGUGUAGACAUAGGUGACGUAAUGUACCAGUCAAUUACUUCACUCACAUCAGCUGUUUCAAUAACUAGUUUCUCCAAGAGUGGCUUCUCAUUUAUUAAGGAACACAAAGUCUUUUCGUGUUUUCCCCUAAAAUCUAGCACCAACAGUUCCCUUAACUGCUUUAGCUUUCCAACCUCUCCAAUGACCACUCCAUCAUCAUCUAUAAUCACUGGAGCUUAGUAAGCUUACGAGUCUCCUCUGGCAUCUUAGACACACUUGUGUCUCUUAUAUCCAAGGUCUCUAAAUUCUCGAGCUUGCCAAUGGAUUUUGGUUUGGUAGACUUUCUAUCCCUGGUAGACUUUCUACUUCAAGUGGCAUAAAUUCCCCAAAUUUUCAGGAACAUAACGUAAACCAGAACCUUCAAAAUCUAGUACCUUCAAUAGCAUGUAAUUGGUAGGGAUUUUGUUUACUAAGUGUUCAGAUACUUCUUCAUCUUUUCCUGUGCUAAUAAAAAUUGACCGAAUGGGUGAGCUUCCUAUACUUCCACUAAAAUCAUCGGUUGCAAUUGUCAGGCGUCGAACAAUCUUACUUGAUACAGAUUGAUCACGCCCGUCAAUAUACUGACAAAAUUCUGUAUCCUUGACUUUUCUAAGGAUCAUGUCGUGUAUUAGCACUACUAGAAAAAGCUGAUUUAACAUCGGCGAAUUAACAUCGGUUUUGUCAAAAACCGAUGUUAACGUAAACGCGGUGGCAUAAUUAUAAAUAAUGUGUAUUUCUUAAGAUCAUUUUUAUGAAAACCGAUGUUAUAGGCGAUUCGUUAACAUCGGUUUUCAGAAAACCGAUGUUAACAUAUAAUCAGUUAACAUCAGUUUUUUGAAGAAAACCGAUGUUAACGUUGACAUCAAUUUGUUAACAUCGGUGUUUUAUUGAAAACCGAUGUUAAACUUACAUUUUAAAUUGUAUUUGACUCGACCUAUUUCGCUCGCGCUCCCUUCAUUCUCCGUUUACCCUCUCUCGCUUUCUUCUUCUCUGUGAACCCUUUCGCGCUCUCUUCUCCAUUGCACUGUAAACAUCGAAGGCUGUUGUUCUCCAUUGCACUGAAGACCGUGACAGGUACGCUUCGUCUACCUGUGUUGUUCUAUCGAAGGUUGUUGUUCUCCCUUUCGUGCUAGGUUUAUUUCUGGAACCCUUGGUUAAGCUAAGGACCUUUUUUGGUUUCUGGUGCAAGGAUUGGCGAAUUGGUGGUCACCUGAGGUACAUUUGACUGGUAGUACGUGGUGUUUGUGGUCUGCUGAGUUACAUUUCACCUGAGGUACAAUCUCACCAGCAUUGUCGUUGUUGUGUUCGAGGUAAGCUUCAUGUCUUCAUUGUAAGUUUGUGCUUCCGCGUACGUGGUGUUUGUGGUCUUUCUUCUUAUAGAUUGUUAGUUAGUUUCUUAAAUAGUUACUACUACUAGCUAGGGUUUCCAAUGCAGGUAGUGUUGCUUGGAAAGCUGUGUAUCCAUUAGGUUCUGGUCACUAUUUUCCUCAGUUGCUUCUCCUUGCAUCAAAAGGUAUGCGCUCCUUGUUGUGUAUCCAUUAGGUUUUGCUCUCUGUUUCCAGCAAUGUACUGAAUAUGGAUGAAUAUGAAUCUUUGUUGUAUGUUCUAAAAAUGUGGUAGCUGCCUCAAUUUCUUGAAUAGCAUUUUUUGUUCUUGUAUGGUUUUUUUUUUUGCACAACAGAAAUCAGUAGUAUUAUAUAUGAUGUGCUCAGAUGACUUUUCCCUUUGUCCUAUUAGCUAUUUCCUUUUUUUUUUAUUUGGAAGGCAUAAAAUAUAUUAUAUUAUUAAGAUAGUCAAAGCAGUACAAGUGUUACUGAAUUAAAAGAAACACAAGCACCUCUGGUGCUGCCCUCCAAAAGAAAUCCCAAGCUAACCCAGUAGAAAAGGCAACCCCACAUAGUUUAACCAAAGGAUUCUGAUAUGUUGGAAGACCAGUGGUUAAAACUAAUGUCGAAACCUUUCUCUUUAGUUUUGAGCCAAGACCAAACUAAGAACAUAGCCUCUUCCAAGACUUUAUAUGAGUCAAAAGGUUUUCCUUGAAAUAUCAAAAGAUUCCUAUGUUAUCUAAAUGUCAAUGGAGUUAGGAUGAAAUAAAGGAAAUAAAAGACACUAAUGUUGUAAGUCGUAGCGAAACACAAUUUGUAUGAGUGUGUUUAUACUUUAUAUGAUCUUUGAUGAAUCUCUAUAUAAAGGGGCCAAGAUAUAUUUCCACCUUUGAGUUUCAGUUGCUCGGUUGGAAUUAGAAUUUUGAAGGGUUUAUACUUCAUAUUUCAGGAUUGGGAGCAAUCUUGUCUAAAGUUGUACCUGCAACGUUUUCCACAAUAAGUUCUCUUAUCGGAAGCCUCAGCAUUUGGUCGAGGUGAACAGUCGUCUCCAAAGAAAUCAGAUUAGAAGCCUCAGCCAUUUUCUCGAGGUAAGCAUUAAUGCCCAUUAUAGUGCUUCCCUUUUAAUCAAUGGUCAAGUAGCAUUAGACAGGGCUUUUGCAUCAGUAGAGGAUAGAACUUUUUGACUAAUACAUGUAUAUUUACUAGUACCCAUAUAAUGGUUCCCUCUCAGACUAGUUCUGUCUGAUUUUGGAACCAUUCCUAUGGUACUCAUACUGUUGUAUUAUAGUACCUCUGGUACUCCUUUCCAUAUUUAUAAAAUAUUAUCUUUGCUGAUAAAAAAAAGUACACAGGCUCCUGCAGAUAUUUGUGUAUAAUAGGGAUGAUGAUCAAACCUAGUAAAAGGAAAAGAAAAUUAUAUAUUGUAUUGCUAAAUAGGACUGUUUUAAACAAUAGAAUAGUGGUGCUAUGAUAUUUUAACUAUAGGCUUAAUUAUGUUUUUAGUCCCUCAAAUUCAAAAAAUGUUCAUUUUAAGUCCCUCAGCUCAAAUAAAACUUAGCAUUUUUUACAAUUUAACUUUUGGAAAUCAUGAAGCAUGAACAAAAGAGGUAACAAGUAAGCUUCCUGUCAGAAUUGCCUCUUCCACAGUACAAUCGAAUCUGCCUUGUGCUGUUCACAAUGACAUAUACUAGAAUAUAUAUGUUUUCUAAAUAUUGAAGCAAAGAUAAAGUAACAUGUGUUCAGAGAAAGGGACAAUCAUAUGCUUCCUUUGCCCAUGACAAAUAGAAUUAAAAGGAACCCCAUCCAAAUAAGGUCUAGAGUAGUCCUAUUCAGUAAAUCUGGUAUGAAAAAAUUUAGCAGCUACAUUCUUCACUGUAUUGGGUUGCUGGACCCACACACUAUCAAUAAAGAUGCCUGGAAUAGCAUUGAAAGCUCUCCUGUAAUUUAUUAUUCUGUGGAAAUAACCAGAGUUGUAGUCCCCUUCCUUCAACCAUGUUGCCCUAGAUUUUUGUCUCAAAAGAGAUUCCGCUGCAUUUGAAACAUUCCAUAAUUCCUGCUGAAGGGAAUUUCUGACCUUGAGCUCUUGGUCAGACAAAACUCGAUUAGAGGCUAGAUCUUCCACCUCAUUUAAUUUCUGUUGAAUGCUGAAUGUCUUGUUGACAUCAAAAUUCCCCUCUCCCUUACUCCACUGUUUUAUAGCAGCUUUCAAGUUUUUCAACUUAUUUUUAAGGACAAUACCCCCCCAACCUCCUUGCUGAUCAUUACUCCAGGCCUCCCUUACCAUUUUUUGAUAACCUUUCUGCUGCAGCCACCAGUCAAACACCUUAAAGGGCUUAGGACCCCAAAUCAUCCCCAAAUCUCUCCACUUGAAAAUCGCACACUUAUUCCCCAAGCACAGCAAUCCACCAGAUGCUUGAAUUGAAGGAACAAAAUCCCAAGACACAUAGGAAUCUCCCCACAUAGAUUGGUAGAUGAGCUUAUCAAAAGACUCCUUUUUUGUUUCUUGAAUACACACAAGGUCCACCUUAUGCUUCAUAUCCUGUAUAGACAUACCCUAUAUAGACACCCUAUAGGCUACAAACACUCCCUACAUGGAUAUCCAUUAAAUAGAAUUAUGGUACACUUUGUUGAUAAAACUGAAUUAAUGAGAGUGAUUCUGCCCCCCAUAGAUAGACUUUUUUGCUUCCAUUUUGCAAGCUUGGCUUCAAAAUUCCUUAUAAUAGGCUGCCAAACACUCCAGCUCUUAGAAGACACCCCUGCCUUGCAAGUAUUUUGUUAAAUAAUGUGAUUGAAGUAAAUUUUUUAUUAGAUUUAAUUAAAUAAAUGUUUAGUAUUUUGUUCAUUCCUAUUAGUCUGUUGAUAGCUAACUGGAAUAAAAGAAAAGCUAAGGUCGGACCAGUUGAUAGCUAACUGGAAUAAAAGAAAAGGUGGAGGGAAUAAUUGUCAUAUCUUUUUGUUCAUUCCUCUCUUGUGCAGGGAAUAAUUGUUAUAUCUUUUUAUUUCAUGAUUACCCCUUUUUAUAGCCAUUCACACAAGAUAUUUUGCUAAGUUGUUAUAACAGAAUUUUGAAAUUGCAUAACCACACAGGUAUCAAGUAAAAUUUGGAAAAAGCUUUAAGCGCGAAGUAGAAGGAAUUCUAGAAUCUGCUAUCGGGCUUCCAGCUCCCCUGGUCCUUAUACGAAGUCACUGAGGUACUUGGGCUUGUGUGUGUUGCGUUUUGGUCUGUUAUUGCCUCUGCUAUUUGUAGUCAUGAUUUCCUCUUGGUUGGAAUUAUUGUCUGCUGCUGUUAUCUGUGUGAUAUCUGGUACUGCUGUUAGUGUGUUGCUAUCAUCUACAUGGUUUUUUUUUUUGCAAAAAUAUAUAAAUAUUUCAUUAUGUAAAUAGUGAUGAAGUACCAGAGGUACUUUGUACAUAGAUAGGAUCCCAUAGAUAUGGUUCCUUAGAAAAAACUAAUACAGUUUAAUUAGGAACCAUAUUAUGGCUAAUACAUCUGCUAAAGCCCCAAUAAAAAUCUACCCUCUAGUGAUACAAAAAGCCUUUUUUGUGUAGCAUUCGAUCUGCUAUGAAGACUGAAGUGGUCUUUCGGUUCUUUUGGGAAAGCACCCAUUGAUUUGACCUAUGAGACUGUCUCCCACCACAAGGGAAGUACCUUGCUGCAGUUGAAGAAAAGGUGCGUUACAUCUUCAUCCAAAUUGUUACAGAACGGGCACAAUGGAUCAGCUAUCUCCACUUGUCUUCCUGUUAAAUUCAUCUUUGUUGGUAAACGGUCUUUGAUGAGCCUCCAUGUAAAUACCUUUGCCUUAGGUGGUAUUUUAAGUCUCCACAGAAGCGAGAAACUCCGAUCCUCUGAUUCCCCCCUUAUUUCCCCCAGCAGAAACUUAUAUGCAGUUCUGGUCGAAUAGAUUCCACUUGAGUCUUGCUUCCAAACCCAUCAGUCUGCUCCUUGUUGCUGUACUGCUAGCCCUACUGUUUCCUCUAGGAAUUCAGCAGCCAUUGUAGCUUCAUUAUCAAAUAAGUUUCCCCUCCAUUUAAAGUUCCAUUCCAUAAAAUAAACACUGCAUCUUCCAUUAAUUUCUGGUCGUGAAAAACAGCAUUGGAGAAAAUAAUGUUGUUCUUAUGCUUCCACAAAUAUGCUGAAUAAACUGCAAGUGACAAUAUUAGAAACACUAUUAAUAAUUAUAGCAGUCAUUGUUACUGCACAGUAUAUUGGUCUACUUUGAUGAUAUUAUUUUUACAGGGAACUCUCCUAUUUUAAUUCAACAAUUGAUCACUCGAUUGAAAUCAGUCUUGGCCCAAAAAAAGCUAUGACAAUCAUGUAAAAGGUACAAUACAUAGUGUAGGGGGUUUCACAAAUCCCUAUGGGGUAAUUUACAGAAAUAAAGACAAGAAAAAAAAUUAGCAGAAAAAUUAAGAAAGUCCUAAUCUUAAUAAAAACAAGAAAAUGAUAAUAAGAAAUCCUAAUUAGCAAAUAAUUAAAGAAAUCCUGAUUNNNNNNNNNNNNNNNNNNNNNNNNNNNNNNNNNNNNNNNNNNNNNNNNNNNNNNNNNNNNNNNNNNNNNNNNNNNNNNNNNNNNNNNNNNNNNNNNNNNNAGACACACACACACAGCCACACACACACCCAGACACCCACAGACCUACACACACACACACACCCACAACCACAAACAGACACUCACACACACACACAUAUAGCCACACAACCACACACACACACACACACACACAACCACACACACACACACACACACACAACCACACACACACACACACACACACACACACAAACAACCACACACACACACACACACACACACACACACAACCACAAAUAGACACACACACACACACACAGCCACACAACCACACACACACACAUACACACACACACACACAACCACAAACAGACACACACACAGACAUAUACCCAACAACAAUAAUAAAGCAUAAGCACCCUUCAAACCCAGCAUUUUAAAUUAGAUACAUAAACAACUAUUGAUGUCUAUAUUUGCUUGUAAUUGAAUUUGACCUUUUGUAUGUUCUUGUAUGUGAUCAGUGUAAUUUGCUAUAUAAACAACUGUUGUUCAUGCUGAGUGAACCUUAGAUUCCCGUUUGAGACUGAAUGCAAUGACUCUUGCGGACAGUUUGCAUUAGUCAUUGUAUUUAGUCUUGAAUUGUCUGUUUGGACAGUUUGGGGAGACUGGUAUUUUUAUGUUAGAUUCAUUCGUGAAGCUUAUUAUUAUUUUAAUUAAUUUGAUUAAAUUUCGGUUCACUGCAUUUCAAGUUGUUCUCUGAGUGCAUACUUGAUUAUCGGGAAAUUCAUUUGACCGAUGUCAUGUCGUGUACUUGGAGACCAAUACGAAAUGCUGCCGAAAUUUAGUCAAAUUUUUGUAAAUAAUGGUAACCUUGACGAUUGAAGCUAACAUAAAAGACAAUUUUCCUAAAUGGGAUAGGGCCACACCUAUAAAUAAAAAAGUGAGAUUUUCAUGCAUGGAAUUGCGUAGAUGGAUCGAAGUUGGAUGAAUGCAAGUCGCAUGAGCCCAGAAUAUGAGGAUGGCGUCGAACAGUUCUUGCAAUUUGCUUCAGAAAGAGGUCGACCGAAUGAAGAAGGAAAAUAUUAUUGUCCUUGCAUCAACUGUUUGAAUGGAAGACGACAAUUACUCGAUGACAUACGAGACCAUCUAUUGUGUGAUAGGAUUAAGAAGAAUUACACGACGUGGAUAUGGCAUGGUGAAGUGACAGACAUGCAGAGUGGGUCCCAAUCUGAACCGUUUGAUGUAGAAAUGGGAGAUCGGUUAGAGGACAUGAUUCGUGACCUUGGACAGGAGUCUUUCCAGCAAGCACACGCCCCUGUGUAUGAAAGAUUACAGAGUGAUUCUAAGAAGCCUUUGUAUGCAGGGUGCAAGAAUUCCUUAACCCUGUUGUCUGCUGUGUUAAUUCUGGUUAAUGUGAAGGCCAGGUAUGGGUGGAGUGACAAAAGUUUCACUUCACUGCUUGAGGUAGUGCACAAUCUGCUUCCAGAGGACAACACAUUGCCUAAAAGUUACUAUAAGGCGAAAAAGAUAUUGUGUCCGAUGGGUAUGGAGUAUCAGAAGAUUCAUGCUUGCCCCAAUGAUUGCAUACUGUACAGGCAUGAAUUCCAAGAAAUGUCCAAAUACCCUAUAUGUGGGACUUCACGGUACAAAGUGAAGGAUGAAGAGGAAAGCAAUUCUGAUGAAAACUCCAACAAGGGCCCCCCAGCGAAGGUUUUGUGGUAUCUUCCAAUCAUUCCAAGGUUUAAGCGUCUGUUUGCUAACGAGGACGACGCAAAAGACCUUACAUGGCAUGAAAAUGGAAGGAUUUCUGAUGGAAUGGUCUGUCAUCCGACUGAUUGCUCCCAGUGGAAGAAGAUUGAUGGUUUGUAUCCGGAUUUCGGGAAUGAGCCAAGAAAUCUUAGACUUGGACUAGCCAGUGAUGGAAUGAAUCCAUAUGGCACCUUAAGCACUCAACACAGUUCAUGGACAGUUCUGCUAGUAAUUUACAAUUUGCCUCCUUGGUUGUGCAUGAAGCAAAAAUACAUGAUGUUGUGUAUGAUGAUAUCGGGCCCAAGACAGCCAGGAAAUGACAUUGACGUUUAUCUAAGUCCGUUGGUUGAAGAUCUGAGAAAGUUGUGGGACGAGGGGGUUGUAGUGUUUGAUGCGUUUCGCAAGGAGACGUUUGAAAUGCGUGCAAUGCUUUUUUGUACCAUUAAUGACUUUCCAGCAUAUGGAAAUCUCAGCGGUUACAGUGUUAAGGGUCAUCAUGCAUGCCCCAUCUGUGAAGAAAAUACAAGUUACAUACAACUAAAACAUGGGAGAAAAACAGUCUACAGUAGGCAUCGCUGCUUUCUAACACCCAAUCAUCCUUACAGACGAUUGAGAAAAACUUUUAAUGGAAGUCAAGAGCAUGAUAUUGCGCCGAUACCUUUGACUGGUGAGCAGGUAUAUCAGCGGGUUCAACACCUGAACACUGUAUUUGGGAAGACCUAAAAGAAGGAUAAAAGUCAGAGUUGCAUAUGGAAGAAGAGGUCCAUUUUCUUUGAUCUUCCGUACUGGUGUGAUCUUGACGUUAGACAUUGUAUUGAUGUUAUGCAUGUGGAGAAAAAUGUUUGUGACAGUGUGAUUGGGACGUUCCUUAACAUUCAAGGCAUGAUGAAGGAUGGCUUGAAUACCCGUCAAGAUCUAGCUGAUAUGGGUAUAAGAUCACAGUUGCAUCCAAGGUCUGAUGGGAAGAAAAUUUACUUGCCCCCAGCCUGCCAUACUUUGUCCAAGAAGGAGAAGAUAAGUUUUUGUCAUUGUCUUCGUCGGGUGAAGGUUGCACAAGGAAACUCUUCAAAUAUUAAGAGCCUUGUGCAGUUGAAGGAGUUUAAGCUUGUAGGGUUAAAGUCUCACGAUUGUCACGUGCUCAUGCAACAAUUGUUAGCCGUGGCUAUACGAGACAUCUUGCCAAACAAAGUCAGGUUCACGAUAACUCGCCUGUGCUUUUUCUUCCAUGCUAUAUGUAGCAAAGUGAUUGAUCCAGUAAUGUUUGAUGAGUUGGAAAAUGAGGCCGCAAUUAUACUGUGCCAGUUGGAGAUGUAUUUUCCCCCUGCUUUCUUUGACAUCAUGAUUCACUUGAUUGUGCAUCUGGUCAGAGAAAUCAAAUGUUGUGGUCCUGUUUAUCUACGGUGGAUGUACCCGGUUGAACGAUACAUGAAGAUCUUAAAAGGGUAUACAAAGAAUCUAUAUCGUCCGGAAGCAUCUAUUGUUGAGAGGUACAUUGCAGAAGAAGCCAUUGAAUUUUGUUUAGAAUACUUAGAGAAGGCUAAAGCUGUUGGGCUUCCUGAGUGUCGGCAUGAUGACAGAGUGGGUGGUAAGGGUUCAAGAGGACUGCAAGUGAUCACUCCAAGUGUAGAAGAUUUGUUAAUAUGUAAAUAUAAAUGGUAUAAGGGUAUGGCGUAAAAACAUGGUCUAUAUUUACUUCUAAGAUUGUUAAGGGUAAAAAAAUCCGAAAAUGUCAAAGAAUUGGGCGUUGAAAAAGCAUAACAAAACUUUCUAUGAUUGGUUUAAAGAUACAAUCUUUGCAGAUAAGUUGUUCAUUAGUUGCAAAUAUCCUUCCCUCCUCAAGUGCAAGCUUCUUGCGUAGCCGCUCUUGGUGCUCAGAAAAUCCCAAAAACAAAUCCCUCUUAUUACUAGCUAUUUUCAAUUCUUUAGUUCCUCAAUCUACAACCUUCAAAUUGUUGCUCGUUCCCCUCUUUGUUUUCUGCAAAAAAGAAAAUCAAAUGUUGUCAAAACAUGGAUGAAGUCCUAAGAAAAUCAAUAUCAAAGAAAACAUGGAUGAAAUCACAAUUAAAAAGCAUAACUACCUAUCUUUCAGAGUCCUUUGGUUAAUUUGUCUUGUCUCCUUAUGUGGUGGGGUUUUGUUUAAUAAUCUUAUACUUUUGCCUUCCAAAAAAAACUUAUCACUAAUCCUCUUUUCAUUAAUCCAAUUUUGUAUGUUAUUGUAUAAAAGAUCAUGGGUUCUCCACCUGCCUCCACUACUCCUCCUCCUUCUCCUCCUUCUCCUCCUUCUCCUCCUCCUCCUCCUCCUACUUCGGAUGCAUCGGCUUCGACGUCUGCUGUGAAGCAGACACGCAAAGCCUCACGUCUACGAUCGUUGUCCACUAGACCACCUGGUGUUGAGAGACCAGUGGUGCAUGUUGAUCCUGCUACAGGGAAGACCGACGGUCCCCACAAGAAGAAAUUAAUAACAUAUUUGGGGAUUGUGGCACGUGAUAAGGUGGACAUCACCUACGAGAACUGGAAGGAGGUCCCUACUGCUCAGAAGGACCUGAUUUGGGAGGAUAUUUAGGUAUUUCUCUUUUCUUAUUUGAUUGUGUGUAAUUAAUAGCCAAAAAAUUUCAUUAUUGUAACAAAUAAACUUUGUUUCAUGUUGUCAGGCGGAAUUUGAUAUCCCAGAGGCUUCUGACAGUAGGACAAAAAGGAAGUUACUACAGACCGUGGGGGAGAGAUGGAGGCAGUUUAAAUCAGACCUCACGAGGAAAUGGGCCCUUACAGCCGAUCAGGACGGUGUCGAGGACACUGUCUGUGACAAAUACGGCAUCAGCAAGGAAAACUGGGCCCAGUUUUGCCAGACUCGCAGAGACCCUUCUUGGGAGGUAUGUUCCUUUCCCAUUUAAGUUGUUUUUCAUAUUAAACAUGAUGUUGUUAUACUUCAUUCUACCCAUUUCAAACAUUAUUGUUUAAUUUUUUCAGGAUGUGCGCAUGAAGGCACAGGCCAUCCAGAAGCAUAAUACUGCCCCCCACGUUUUGUCUCGUGGGGGUUAUGAUUAUUUGGAGCAGAAGCUCCUGGCUGAGAAGACCAAGAAGAAGAUGCAGGAAGCUGCACAGUCAGGAAGCGUUGAUGGCGUCAUCGACCCUCCAUCCCCGGUCAGACGCCACGUGAAGUGGAAGAUGGCCCGCACGAAGAAGACAGGGGAGAUGACGACUGAGGCCGCAAAGGAAAUCGCUGAGAAGAUUGUAAGUCAUGUUCAACUAACCAUUACAAUUAUGUUUGAAUAUUUUGAGAAUGUCAUGUACCACUGUGUGUUUUUUUUGUGCAGGAUUCGUUGGAGGAGCAGGCCACACAGGGAUCGUUCGUCCCCCAUGGACGUCAGGAUGUUCUGGCCGCUGCUAUUGGAUGUCCAGAGCACCCUGGACGUGUUCGUGGUACUGGAGCCAGUGUCACCAUCAAGCAAUACUUUGGAUCAGCUCCACGGACGUCCCGCAGCGCUUCCUCCCUGCCUCCUGACGAAUUACACCAGCUGACUCAGCAGAUCAGGGACCAGCUAGAGGAGUCCAUCACAGAGAAAGUGACGAGGCAGGUCAUGGCAUCCUUCAGCCAGCUUCAGUUGUAGAUGCAAUCUCAGGGACUUGCAGUGCCUCCUGAGCCUCUGGUUGGUCCUGGUCCCUCCGGUCCUCGAGUGAGCACAAAGGGGAGUUGUGUUGAUCCCUCAGGAAAUGAUCCUGAGACCGAUGACUCUGACAGGUGCGGCUUGUACAUAGAAGUAGAUCCUGCCCGCCUGGUUGCCAUCGGGAGAGUUUAUGAGGGAUCCACUGUUGUUCAUAACACUCAUUUGUUGUCUGGCCAUGUAAAGGUGAGUGUGGAGGAGGUUAGAGAUGCAGAUGCUCCAGUUCCUGUACCCACUGAUGAGGUUUCCUUAGUGGGGCAGGCACUUCACACCUUCCUUGCUUGGCCGACACAUCUGGUGAAGUCUUUAUUACAGCAGGUACUUAUUGUCCUUACUAUAUGUUUCUUCUUUUCAAAUUAGGCUAUUUAACUUUGUUUCAUGAACAGGUAGCUGUGUCUCCACCAAAACCACCUCCGAAGCCCAAUCCGGAGGUCGAUGAUCCGCUUUAUCUGAUGACAUUGACCAUCCCAGAGCUUUUCUUAAGGCCUUAUCUGGUUAGAUGGGAUGCCACCGUGUUCGGGGUCGUUAAUCCAGAUUUCCCCCUGUACAUAAAGCACGAAGACCUCUCCGAAAUUGCACACGGUGGUCAAUGUCUCAGCAUAUCAGUGUUAUAGUUGUGGAUUCUGUAAGUCUUUAUAUAAAAGGCUUUUAUUUACCUAAGUUAUGGCUUUCAAUUCAUAAAUAUUUAACUUUGACUUAACAUAAACAGGCAUCUCACUGAAACAUCUAUGCGAGCGGGGAAUUUUGAUAUCUAUGGAUUCCUCGAGCCUCAGUCCAUUCAGAGGUCUGGGCAAUCGCAGUUUGAAUCUGAAAGUUACAUAAAGAGUUGGAUGCAUAGUUCACAACGCGAUGUGUAUCUUGGAGCCUACCUAAAUGGGUAAGUCACAAAAUAACAAAAUUUAAUUAAUGUUUACUAAUGUACUAACCCAUUUUAGGUUCCACUGCAGCGGACACUGGCAGAUGGUGGUCAUCCUGCCCAAGGAACACUUAGUUGUCUGGUUUUGUUCAUUGCAUAACAGGCCAGACAACUACCUUAAGGGGAUUAUUAAUAGGUUAGUGUUGUUUUCAAUACAUUUGCAUUGUAAUACCUCAACGUACAACACCAGUUUUUAAUUGUUACUCAUAUGGAACAGUGCUAUCAAGGGUCUUGAUGAUGCUCCACAGCCUAAAUCAAAGGCUCCUGCUAGGUGGAUUGUCAUCAAGGUACGUCAUUUACAUAAAACUUCUACUUAUAUAUAGUUCUUUAUGUGUCUGUACACUAGUUGUUUAAUUAAUAUCCAAAUUUCAUUAUGUAUUUAGUGUAAUAGACAAAAAGGAACUACUGAGUGCGGCUACUAUGUCAUGCAUUGGAUGUCCACCAUCAUUUUAGGAACUUUUAGAAAUAAUUGGGAAGCGGUAAGUUUAUUUCAAAGAAAAUCGAUUUAUUUAUAUUUUGUAUUACAUUAUUAACUUAAUAUGAUUUAUUUAAUCAUGCAGUAUUUUAACGACCCUAGACCAUUGGAGCCUGAGAGAUUAAAAGCAUUGCGGAUCCAGUGGGCACAGUUUUAUCUCCGAAUUAGAGAUCAGGCCUAGGAUUUAGGGACAUUUUUUAACAUUUUUUACAUUUUCUAUGUAACAUGAACAUUGAAUUCAUUUGUUGAUAGUUCUUUAUAAUAUAUAAAUCAAUUAUUUGAUGUUUAUUGUCAUUAAAACUGCUUGAAAGCAUAAUAAAAUGUUUAUUUGCUGUGAAUUGGGCCUCCUGAAAUUGCAUUUGACAGGUACAAUUUUGGGUUUACUGUAAAAACAGAAAGUAUAUAUAAAAAAAAUAUUUGAAAACAAAAUCGGUUAUUAACAAAAACCGAUGUUAAUAUCAUAACCAACAUCGGUUAUAAUAGAAAAUCGAUGUUAAUGUUUGUAUAUUAACAUCGAUUUUUUGUGUAUAACCGAUGUUAGCGUUUGUAUUUUAACAUCGGUUAUCUGUAGAAAACCGAUGUUAACUAGUGUACAUUAACAUCGGUUAAUUAUAAAUAACCGAUGUGAAUAUUUGAAUAUUAACAUCGGUUAUUUAUAAUUAACCGAUGUUAUACACAAAGAACUACACCAAAUAAGUGUAUGCAUCAUCAACGUUGACAUCAGUUUUCUAGCAAAACCGAUGUUAAGGGCAUAUAUUAACAUCGGUUUUUCUAGAAAACCGAUGUUAAACUAACAUAUUUACAUCGGUUUUACUGAAAAACCGAUGUCAACGUUCAUCAUGCCUACACUUUUUUUUGCUGUUGUUCAUUGUGUUUAACAUCGGGUAUUUGGAGAACCGAUGUUGUCAUAUGUAUGUUAACAUCGGUUCUCCAAAACCGAUGUUAACAUUCAUACAUUCAACAUCGUCACUUUCAACAUCAAUUUUAGAACUGAUGUAGAAUGUUCUAAAUAACCGAUGUUGAAAGUGUAUUUUCUAGUAGUGUAGGUCAUGAACACGAGUCCUUUUAACUUUGCCAUCAAUUCUAAAUGAGGAUACUUGCACCAAACUUCUACGGCCAACCCUGAUAAAUAUUGGUGCCCGACUUCUUCCAAUGUUUUUUCGAUUUCAUGUUUGACAAACCCUUCAGUUAUCCACUGUCUAAUCAAUCUAUCAGAUUUAAUUUCAUAGUCCUCCGGAUACAUUCCGAAAUACAACAAACAUGAUCUGAGAUUGAUCGGUAAAUCAUCAUAACUUAGACCUAAAAUUUUUGUUAUACUAUUUAACUCAGAAUUCCUCUCCAACUGGUCUAAACAAAGAUUUUCACUAAACUGUUUCCAUUCGGGUGAACUUUCAUCCUUUUUAGACAAAAGACCACCAAUGGCAACAAUUGCUAGAGGUAAACCUUUACACUUUCUAACAAUUUCAAGAGACAUAUCUUUAAGUUCUUCUGGACAAUCUCCAUCGGAACUAUACUGAAAUGCCUUCUUAGAAAAAAAUUUCAAUGAUUCUUCUUCAGAUAAAGGUUCUUCUAGCUUAAGCACCUCAACAAAUGAUGAUUUCCAACAAUAUCCCGCAACCUUCACAUCCCUGGUUGUGAUUAAAAUCCUACUUCCAUUUUUAUUAUCAAUUACAGCAUAUUCAAUGUGAUCCCAAAAUGUUUCAUUCCAUACCUCAUCAAACAAGACAACAUACCUCUUGUUGCGCAAGCGGUUUCUGACUUCUUCGGUCAAUGACUCCAUGUUAGAAACACCCUUGGGAGGGUCCUCCUUUUUCACUUUGCAAAGCUCAUCCAACAAACGCCUCAGUAGUCCUUCUGCAGAGUAGGAUUGAGACACUGUGAUCAAUGCAUGGCACUCGAAAUUGUUACGCACCUGGUCAAAAACUUGCUUGGCAAGAGUGGUUUUUCCCACCCCAGGAAUUCCCACCACAGAGAUGACAGUGCGUUUUUCUCUUCCCUUUGUCAACCAAUUUUUCAAUGUACCUCUAAGGCCAUCAAGCCCCACAACAUUGUCUUCCUCAAUAAAGAGAGGAUCCAUUCGAAGUUUCUGCCAGGUGACAUUUUGAUUUCCUCUAGAACUUGUUAGUCUUGGUUCUAAAGGAAAAUGGGUUUGGAAACCAUCUCUUUCAACACAAACAAGCGAUUUAACAUCCUGAAUCUUAUACGCAUUUUGAAGGAGAAGGAUUUGAGUUUUGAUGAAGGCAACAACCUCACAUAGUAAAGCUGCACAUCGAGGAUCACCAGGUUGCUUAUCCUCACAGGAGAGGUUAUAUUCAUCGAUGACAUUUGUAAUGUCUCUAACUUCUUUUGGGAGAUCUCUCACCAUUUUGAUACCUUCCAUUAUUUUUGGAAGCGCAUGCUCACUAGCCAAGGACACUGCAGUUUCUGCCAUUUUAGUCUAGCUAGUUAGCUCUGCUUUUUGGUUUGUUGUGAGUGCAAAACUUAAUGUUCUUGAACAUUAUAUAUAGCCAUGUCCGUACUAAGAGGAGGACAAUUGAUUAAUAUUUAAUAUUCUUUUAUUCAGCAAGUUGGAUGUAUUGCUAAUUUAUAAAGUAGUUAUUUAUUCCAAUUAAUACGAAGUCAUAAUAUUUGGCAUGUGGAAGUUAAAGUAUCAUCCACUUGACCUAUAAACACAUGCUAGAUAUGACCAGCGCUAGUUUCAGACGCAGCUGAACAUGCAUGUCAGCACUGAAUUUGCCAUUGUUAAUGUUAAUUGUUUGCCACUGUAUCCACAUCAUAUCACGCUACCACAUAAGUGGAUAUUUAUUGGAAUGAACCAUAAAAAAUUAAGUAAGAAAACUUGAUAACACACUUUAAUCCAAAACUUUAAGACUUAGAUUUAUAAAUCUUAUUCUAACUUGUAUGAUGCAACUUUCCACUUCUAUUCUCGGAUUUCACCUCACUCUUAUACUCUUCAACAUUAUGAAAACUAAUAUCUUAGAGAAAACUAAUUAUUUGUUUCAAUGAUGUUAGUCGGUAUUAUCUAGUUUUACCAACAAAAUUAAACGGCCAUGCUUGUCAACUUAAUAGCCUGUUAGGAAUAAAUUAAUAUUUGCUUUAGAAUGUUCUAUUGGCUUUGAAGUUGUAGGCUCAUACUUCCGUCAACAACUUAUUUGCUUAACAAUAACAUCUGAACUCAGCAACUACAAAGUUUAAACAAAUAGAAAAGACAAUCUCUGUGAAUAUACUUCUUAUUUUAAUGUUUAAAGUACAACUUGUUAACCAGCUACAGUGCAAUAUCAAUUCAAGCGGGCUAACUUUCAAGCUUUGUUUAUUUUCCGAGAAAACGGAGGGAACAUGCAAGACGGACGAUAUAAAACUAUCCUUUUUAGUAUAUAUACUUCUUAUUUUGAGUAUAUAUAACUUUUUUUUUAAAAAAAUUCUACAUAAUUAAAUAUAAAAUAAAGAUUUUUUUAAAUUUUUUCUCUUAAAAAAAUCACAAAAGAUGAACAAAUCAGAUUCUUUAACAGAAAUUAUUUGUUGGUAGAUUACUUUGCAUCUAUAAUAUAAUAACAACAAAAAAAACCUAAGAAAUUAGGUCAUUUUAUACUUCUUUUUUAUUUUUAUUUUUCAUUUAUUUUCUUCAUUUUAGGAGCAUUGAUCAAAUUGACUUGAUCAUAAACUCGACAUUCUAAAUAAAACCAAUUAUUUUGAUUCAAAUUGGUUCCAUUAAUUAGUUUUUUUUUACUUCAAAUUUGAAUAUCCAAUUACAGUUUGUUUGAUUCUCUACUAUAUUUUUUUGCUUUAAAAAAUUACAAUUUGUUUGAUUCUCUAAUUUAUCUUUUUUCCUUGCAUUAACAUAAAGUUUAAAAUAAUAAAAAUCAACACUUAGUGGAGAUAAAAACUUAAAAGAAAAUAGAUUUUUUUUUAAAAUUUCAAAUAUAACCAAUAUAUAAUUGGAUAUGACUGGUUAGGAUUUAAUUUUAAUUUACUCUAAAUUUUGACUAAUUGCACAAAAACUUGAAAAAUUCAUACUCCCUCCCUCCGGUCUCAAAAUAUUUAUUUGUACUAACCAAGAAAGUUAAUUAAUCACAUUUAAUUCAUCAAUCUCAAUUAAAAAUUAUUUUUUUUCUCUCGACAUAUUCUUCAUUGAAACUUGAUAUUAAACAUAAAAAAAUCAUUGAAAAAAACCUCAAUUAAAUGAAGGAUAUUUUAGAGAUAAUAACAUUAAAUAAAGUAAAUUUACUUGAAAUUUUAUUAUAUUUAAAACUAAAAAAAUAAAUUUUAUCUUAUAAAGGAAGUAUUACUUUUCUUUCAUAAAGAAAACCUAAUUAUGGUUAGCCCUUAAAAUUAGUAUUACCACACAAAGUUUUGAUUGUUGGCCGUAUCUAGCAUACUUUCUUAUUGGUUGAAAUUUGUUCAAAAAAUUCGAAUAAGACCCAUUAAAUAAGAAGUGUUGAAAUAUAUACAGUUUUAUGAUUUUUACUCUCUCUGUUCUUGUAUACAUGAUCACAUUACCUAAUUAAUUAAAAUUAAAAAAAGUUACUAAUUUAAUUAAUAGUAAUAAGUUUGUUUUACAUUUAUAAUCUUUUUCAAAAAAAAUUCCAUCAUUAAUAUUUCUUUCUCGUCUAAUGAUUUGUAAAUGCUUUCUUUUUCUUCUUUUAAUGAUGAAUAUUUGUAGUUUAAAAAUAAUUAAUGUAAGAAACAUUAUAAAUUGAGCUUUAUAAAAAAAUCAUUUUAAAAGUCUUAUAAUUAGGAAUAAGGAGAGAAUAAUUAAUUUCAACUAAUAGAAAAUAAUAUGUCAAAAAGAGUAUAUUAAAGUCUUAAUUAAAAGAGCACGCUGUCAAUAUUUCUCUUAUUAUGAUUAUGAUUUUUUUCUUCAUUCGAUCAAUGGAUGGAUUGCAUAUGUUAGCCACACGCGAUGACACACAUAGCCACAAACUUUAUUAUAAUAUCUUGUAUAUUUUCAUAUUGCCAUUUUUUAUAUCCAAUAAAUGUGUACGAUGAUGUUCUCACAUACUAUUCAUAUUGCCUUUUUUAUAACCAGUGGUGUGUAAGAUGAUAUUUUCAGGUACUAUUCAUAUGAGUUUAAGAGUCUAUUUGAUUCAUGCGGGUUAAAUAUUAUUCAAACUUAUUUUUAGCAUAUUGAGGCAAGACUCACAAGACACUCAAACUAAACUCUGUUAACUCAAGUCUAUUUUCACGUACUAUUUAUAUGAGUUUAAUAGUCUAUUUGGUUCAUGCAGGUUAAAUUAAUAGUAUUCAAACUCAUUUUUAGCAUAUUGCACUACUAGAAAUUAAGUUUUCUACAUAGGUUAUUUGACCCUUUCUACAUCGGUUAUGAACCGAUGUUGUAGCGAGAGAUGUUGAAAAGCCACACCCUAUAACGACGGUUGGUGGACCGAUGUAGAAUGGUGGCAAUUCUACAACGGGUUACUUGAGUGACCAUGGUAGUAUUCUAAGAAAUCUACAUCGGUUUUUUAUCAACCGAUGUAGAAUGGUGUUAAUAAUGACCUAAUUCUACAUCGGUUGUUUGGGAUGACUGUCUUAAUAUAUUGAGGUAUCUACAUCGGUUUUCAGCCCAACCGAUGUAGAAUGCUACCCAUAAUAGGUAAUUCUACAUUGGUUGACCGCCUUAGUUUGUUGAGUAAUCUACAUGUUUUUUUUGACAACCGAUGUUGAAUGUGUGUUUUUUUUUUUUGGUGGAAUUCAGCCCGUAACAAAUAUGCAAAUUCCAAAAUGUUGAAUAGAUAUGAAUCCUCACAUAUAUACAAACCCCUGGUAUCAAAAUUAAGCAAUAAAAACACAAGAGGCAGGGCAAGGCAAGUUGAUGCAAAAUUGAGCAAUAAAAACAUAUAUAUAGUCCAUAGUUAACAAAGAUAAUGUGUCAACUUACAUUCUCAUCAUCAAAAUCAUACAACUCAGCAGCUACAAAAUGAAAAUAUUAAUGUUAGUAACUUCAAAUUUCCUUAUAAGUUAAAAGGCUAUAUUAGCUAAACAACCAGGAGUCAAUUUUUUGCUUGUAAACAUGUUUAAUAACAAAUAAGCUUCACUAAACAUAAUAAGUAGUUCAUUCUUUCAAAAGAGUAGAAACAAGUGACUUGUAGCACUUAUGUAUCUACAACCAAAAUAUACAAACAAGGAUAUCAAAAGGAUGAACACAAGGAUGGCCCAACAAGGCUCCUCCACUAUGACUCAAAGGUGCAGAGCAACACAUAAAACUUAUGGGGCUGAGCAAAAAAAAAAAACAUAAAACUUAUGGGUAUACAGAAAUUUAAACAACAAAAUAGAUUUUUAAUAUCAUCAAUAAAACUUAUGGUCACAAAAUAAAAAUUAGUAAAUUAUUAUAAUUAUUGAUAAAUAUCCUCUUAUUACUAAGGUUUACAUUAUAAGAGAAUUAAGUGGUAAGACGUUGAAGGAAGGAGGUCGUUGGAAGAACCUUUGUGCUUUCUUUCUUGAGUUUCUAGUACCUAUCAUUAUCAAUUAUCAUGCUACACCUUUAGAAAGAUAAGUUUUUUGUUACUCAUGGACAACAGACUCUGGGCUUGGAACAUUGCAAAUUAAGGAAAUAGUUCUCUAAAAUAACAAAUUUUCAAAUGCCAUAACAGUAUGAAUUACAUGUUAAAUGGUAGUUGCUUGGUGUUCUUUACCUUGUAAGCCAAAGAAGUCCAUUGGUACAACUGGAUGAUGACACCAUGACUUUUCUAAAGCGAUUUGAUUCCAAUCUUAUCAUAUUGUUUUCUAGUACACCAGUACACCCGUUUCUCCUUCACGAGGAUUGAAAAUAUUAUUUGUCUUAAAUAUUAAUAUAGAUUUCUAUUUUAUGUUAACAAAAUAAAAGCAAAACUCAGUAUGUACUGAGUUUUAAAGAAUGGGAAAUUAACUUGUUAAGAUUCUUUUCUUAAUUGAGUGAACCAAAUAGCUUCUAUUGUUAGUGUACUAAAAUUAACAUACUGAUUGACUUCUGAAAGUGAGGACUGUAGCUUGACCAAAUAUGCCAUCAGUUCCUUUGCUGCACCUGCAUCCAUGUUCUUUAAGGAAAAAAAUUGAGGUCACUAACUGAUUCUCAAAACAGAUUAUAACAAAGUAGGAGGAAAAUGUGAUUGUAUCAUACUUCAUAGUCAUAUUGAGUAUAAUAAUGGCGCCCAUAAGAAGUUUGUACAAAAUAUCACUCAGAAAGUGAUUUAUCAAUAACUUAUAACAGUCCCAUUUUAGAAAACAUUGUUUUGUUGUUUUAUGAGAGUUAAAAUAUGUUUAUGAUAAAAAAGAAUAUUGAAGUUUUCAAACAUCAAGGAUUAAAAGGAAAAAAAAAGAGUGAAUAAACAAAAAACUAGGCAAGUUAAUUGAAGAUUUUAGAAUUCAAUAAAAUUUUCAAAUUUUCUGAAAGUAAAAAAAAACCCUACUUUUUUGUCGUGGCAUUUAUUUAUUUAGCAUUGGUCCUCUAUUAAUAAACAAUUUAAUUUAGUACUUUAAAUUUCAAAACGGUGCAAUUUGACCCCUUAAUAAACUUCUUGUUCUCACCAUUUUUUCAUUUUUUUUCAAUUUUAAUAAACAAUUUAAUUUUUUCCUUUAUUUGGUUCAAUCUCAUCCCACUAUUAAUAAACAACAUCAAGUGAAUUUGGACCAAAGACACCAAAUUGAAUCGAUUUGAAAUUCAGCAAUCAAAUUAAAGAUUUUAUUAUUAGGAGGAUAAAAUUAAAUGAAAUAAAUAAUGAAUGAAACAAAAAGAUAAAAUUAAGCCUUGAAAAAUUUAUCUUACCCCAGAUAAGUGAUAUAUAAAUUGAUUUUAAUAACAUAUAUUCAACCAUUAUUUUUUUUUUUGAAAAAUAUGGGAUCAAAACUGAACAAAAAAGUUUGGGUACCAAAAUUGUUGAAGCACUAUGCUAAGAGGAUUAAAGUGCUAAGCCAAAAUCUAACAUGUCUUGUUAUCGUACGAGUUCACCCCAAGCUUAACAUGUACAACCCAAAUUUUCACUCCAAUUCAAGUUCUAGAAGCAUACUGGAGACUGAUUUUAUUAUUUACUAUUGUAAUUGAAGGUGAAUAUAUCUUAACUCAAAAACUCUUCCGCAAUUGAAAAUUCUAAAUCUUUAGAAUUUCUCAAUUAGGGUAAUCAUUAGGUUCAAGAAUAUCUAAAUUAUUGUAAUUGUUGAUAUUUAUUACUAUAGAAUCUCCAAUCUUGUUGCAUUAUACCUUAAAUUCAAUCCUUAUUUCAAUUUCACACUUGUAGAUAAGAAUAUACGAUCAAGGUACUAUAAGUAACCAAAUGCCAAUUUAUAAAGGCAUUAAAUUAAAACAAAGACAAACAAUCAAUUUAAAAGAAAUGAACUUGAAUUAUAGAUAAGAAUUCAAAUUACAUCAAGUUAACAAAAAUUUGAGUACACAUUUUAGAAAAAAGGGAAACAAGAGAAAGAGAAGAAGGAAGCUUAAAAAAUCAAUUUGAUGCCUCAAAUCCACUCAUGCAUCCACCAUUUCACGGGCCGCAAAAGAAAGAACUAGAGGGAAUCUUGAGUUUUUCAGUUGUCAAAAAUUGUCUACCUUUGUAGGAACACUAUUUUCAGCUUCUUCGUAUGGUGUUGGUGCUAAAAUGGGCGUAAUAAUUAACACUCAAAAAACUACAUGAUUAGAACAUCGAAAACAUUGGAUUUGGAAAACCUCUUACAAUCUUCCCUCAGUGCUUUCCUAAAAUUUAUGGUUGUACAAAGUGGGUCAAACUUCAAAGCAUAAAAAUUAGGAACAUUUAACACAAUCUAAUUUAUGAAAAAAAUUCACAUUAUUGUUCUUCAAUCGUAAUGAAACUUAAAAAACCCACAACAUUUACACAAUAUAUAUGCUUACGACCCUAUAAAAACACAAAGUUAAUUUCUUCUUAAAAUGAUACAAUGAAAUUGUUCAAGUAUUUAUCAACAUGGAAAUAAGAAACUCAAUCCAGUUGAGGUCAACAUCUACCAAUUCUGAGCACAAUAAUAGAAAGGAUUAUAAUGAUCAGAAUCUUAUAAUGAAGAAACGUUAACUUUGGUUGGUGUAGGCGUAUACUUGUUAGACAAUUCUAUCCCUAACUUGUACGUGAGAUGUUGUAGAGAAAGAAAAAUGAAGCAAAUACUAGAAGAGAAAAUGAGGCAAAAGUAAUUAUUUUAGGAAUUAGAUAAUGGUUGCAUUUUUUAUUGAAGAAAAGAAAAAGGCCACGAAUGUCAUUCUACAAAGUUAUAGAUGUGAAAAAGACGCACCUUCUAUUUUCUACAAAGUUAUAGAUGUGAAAAAGACGCACCUUCUAUUUUCAAAUUUGGACGCAUCUUACUGAUGACUUCUGCCGAAUAUAUGCGAAGGGUCUUCAGGAUAAUCCAGUGGUCUUCUCCUCCAUCAGGAGCAAUGCGCUGCUCAAAUUCAGUUGGCAUGUCCUUGAUAUAGAGAUCUUUAAGCUUCUCCAAGUGUUGAAUUCCAGAGGGAACUGUUUCGAGUUGGGAGAGGUCUUUUAAAACAAUUUCUUCCACAGAACACAGUGCUCCUCUGUCGAUAAGGAUGCACUUCAAUUGAUCCAAUAAUAUGAGUUGCAGUGUCUUUAGUUUCUGAAACCCUCCACUUUGAAAAUUCAAAGUUUCACCUUCAUAAGCAUUGUAAGUUAAAUCGAGGAACAACAACCUUGGCAUAUUUUUUAGUGAUUUCAAUGCAUCAUUAGUCAACCUGGAGCCGCGCAAACGCAGUUGCACAAGAUUUGGGAACUGUGAAAUCCAAUUUGGAAACCUUGUUAACUUCCCAAAUAGGACAAGCUUCCUAAGUGUAGACAUAGGUGACGUAAUGUACAAGUCAAUUACUUCACUCCAAUCAGCUGCAUCAAUAAGUAGUUUCUCCAAGAGUGGCAUCUCAUUUAUCAAGGAACACAGAGUCUCUUUGUGCUUUCCCUCAAAAUCAUUCACCGACAGUUCCCUUAACUGCUUUAGCUUUCCUACCUCUCUAAUGACCACUCCAUCAUCAUCUAUAAUCACUGGAGGUAUCUCUUGUAGGGAUGUCAUGCCUCCAAUAUCCUUCCAUUGAAUUGAACACCUAGAAUAAGCCAGAAGAUGACGUAGCUUUUUAAGCUUACUAAUCUCCUCUGGCAUCUCAGACACACCUGUGCCUCUUAUAUCCAAGGUCUCCAAAUUCUGGAGCUUACCAAUGGAUUUUGGUAGACUUGCUAUCCAUGUAUACCGAAAGCUUAAAUACUUCAAGUGGCAUAAAUUCCCCAAAUUUUCAGGAACAUAACUAAAAGCAGAACCUUCAAAAUCAAGUACCUUCAGUAGCAUGUAAUUUGUAGGGAAUUUGUUAACCAAGUCUUGAGAUAAGUUUUCAUCUUUUCCUGUCAUGAUAAGAAUUGACCGAAUGGGUGAGCUUCCUAUACUUCCACUAAAAUCAUCAGUUGCAAUUGUCAGGCGUCGAACAAUCUUACUUGAUACAGAUUGAUCAGGCCCGUCAAUAUACUGACGAAACCCUGUAUCCUUGACUUUUCUAAGGAUCAUGUCGUGUAUUAAGUCAUGAACACGACACCUUUCAACGUUUCCAUCAAGUCCAAAUGAGGAUACUUGCACCAAACUUCUAUGAACCAACCCUGAUAAAUAUUGUUGCCCAACUUCUUCCAAUGUUUUUCCGGUUUCAUGUUUGACAAACCCUUCAGCUAUCCACUGUCUAAUCAAUCUAUCAGAUUCAACUUCAUAGUCCUCCGGAUACAUUCUGAAAUACAAUAAACAUGAUCUGAGACUGAUCGGCAAAUCAUCAUAACUUAAACCUAAAAUUUUUGUUAUACUAUUUAACUCAGAAUUCCUCUCCAAGUCUAAACUUAGAUCUCUACUAAACUGUCCCCAUUCAGGUGCACUUUCAUCUUUUUGAGACAAAAGACCACCAAUGGCCACUAUUGCUAGAGGUAAACCUUUAUGAUGCAAUCCUACCCCGCAAGGGCAUUGGUUAGAAGACUCCAAGUAGAUUGGGCUAGAGAUCCAAGGAAAGGCCCUAGGGUUCUCAUGAGCCUUAGGGUAGAUUUCGAGCCCAUGGGCUAAGUAUGAGCUCGCUUAUCUUUGUAAAUAUUAGAAUAGGUUUUUCCUUCGUCAAGGCCUUGUAUUUUGGCCAUUCUAGUAGUAUAGGGUUUUAGCCUUGUAUUUCGGGGCAUUUUGAGUUGUCUUUGUAAUAAGGACUUUUUUUUUUAUUUUCAUGUUUUUUUGUCAUGGGGGUGAGCUUAGCUAUUAUAGGGGGUGUGUAGCUAAGCUCUAGCUUCUCAUCUCAAGGAGGUGAGCUUAGCUAUUAGAGAGGUAUGUGUAGCUAAGCUCUAGCUUCUUUACGAAUCUUCUUAAGGAAGCUUCUCAAGGAGGUGAGCUUAGUUAUGAGAGGGGUGUGUGUAGCUAAGCUCUAGCUUCUCAAGGAAGUUUUCUCAAAGAAGCUUCUCAAGGAAGUUUUCUCAAGAAAGCUUCUCAAGGAAGCUACCUAGUCUAUAAAUAGAAGCAUGUGUAACACUUGUUGUAACUUUGAUGAAUGAGAGUCUUGUGAGACAUCUUUCAAAGUUCCACUUCUCUGCCUCCUUUAUUCCUUCAAUUUCGUGCUCCCCCCUCUCUCUUUCUCUCCCUCUUUCUUUUCCUCCAUUGAAGCAUCCUUCCAAGCUUCUUAUCCAAGGCUCAUCUUGGUGGUGAAGCUCCUUCUUCCAUGGCUUAUUCCCUAGUGGAUGGCGCCUCCUCUCCCCUCUUCUCCUUUGUCUUCCGCUGCAUCUCCAUGGUGGAAAACCACCAUUAAAGGACCUCAUUGAAGCUCAAAGAUCCAGCUUCCAUAGAAGCUCCACAAGCAAGCUUCCAUCAAGUGGUAUCAGAGCACAAGAGCUUCAAGUAGGUGCUCCUUAAACCUCCAUUAAUUUUUUGCUUUACCUUCUCUUCCAUUGUUUUUUCUUCAUUUUUCUACAUGUAUCUCCUCACAUGUCUUGUUCUAAAUGUUGUUAACAUGAUUCUUUAGAGUUUUCACCGAUUAAACUUGCUAUAGAAGUUAGAUUUGAUUUUCUAUGGUUCAAAUUUCUUGUUCUUGUUCUUGAACCAUGAAUUGUGUUGAGUUUAGGAUCCUUUGAGUUUUGUCUUGUUAUUUUUUGUGGCUGAAACCUAAACCAUAAAAUUCUUACAAAAAUAUUAAAGUAGAAGAAAACCUCAAAAAUCUAGAGUGACUUGUUCACCUAUUGUAGUUUUGUCAUAGAAGUCAUGUCUAGUCAUGAAACUUGUCACAUAAGAUUUCUUAUGUUGUGCUGAAUUUUAUUUUCUUGUUUCUUUGUCUAACUCAUUUGUUCAUGAGUGUAUGAAAUUCUUUUAGCCUAUUAUUUGAUUUGAGUCAAAUCUUUCAUGUUAAUUAGUCCUUAACAUGUUCAUGCAAAAUUCUUAGAGAGUCUUUGAUUGUGAACCUUUUCUUGAACUUUUAGGUUUCCUUAUGAUUGUGUCUAUUGUGAAUUUGAGUUUUGGUGAUUGAAUUGCUGGCUGAAAUGUUGAUCCUAAGUGAAUAUUGAACUCCUAAAACUGUGGUAAACAAUCCUAGUGAGUUCAACAUACAUAGGAAGGUUGAAAGUAAGCCCAAGGCAAUCAAUAUACCAUGCUUAAAGAAACAAAUCGCUGGUGCUGGCAGCUUGGACAUACAAACUUGUAAAAAUUACUGAGAAUUGGUUACUUCGAAUUUUGAGCUGAAAUUUUUACAGAAUUUUCUAGACAUCUGGAAAAAAGUUAUAAAAAAAGAAACAAGUGAUUUGGAUAAAAGGAAAAAAUACGAAAAACCACACAAGUUGGCAGGAAAAUCAGUAUCCAGAAAAAAACGGGUGAAAGGGAAGUGUGCUUGUUGUUUUGGUUCAAAAUUUAUUCUAUAAUUGGAAAUUUCAAUUCAAAAUUAGUGUGAAGACAAGUGCCAAAGCUAGAGUUUUGUUGAGUCUUUUUUUUUCAGUUUUUUUUACUCUACUCUAGAGCCAUUCUAAGUUUCUCUUUGAGUCCUAGCUUGCUUCUAUGUCCUUUUCAUUGCUUUAAUUGUUGAAUAAUCCUUGAAAAAUUGUCUUGUUAAAAAUCCAUUGGUUUAGCUUUCAUUUUAUUUUUUUUGGUCUUUGGUUAUUGCUUGUCUCUUUGUUUCCUUGUUUGUGGGUUGCCAUAUAGGAAUUGGAAGGAGGAUUGGUGCCAUCCCUUGAAGAAUUUCAGUCCAGAAGUAAGGGGCCAACCACCUUAAGAGCUAUUGGACUAAGAAGCACUCCAAAUUGAGUGAAUCACCAAAGAGAGAACAACCACCAAAAUUGAGGACCGUUUUGUAAUUUUGUAAUUUGCAAUUUACUUACCUUCAUUGCUUUCAAGUUUUUGUAACAAAAAGGCCUUUCAUUGGAAGUGUGUUGGGAGCCUCCAAUAGGUUACCAAACUUCCAUUUGUGUGUAAUAAUUUUAGGCAAUUUUUACUUAGGAUAGUGAGUGUUUUGUUGGGAACCUUGAAUGUGGUCAUCCAAACACUCUUAGGAUUCACCUAGUUUACAUUUCUUGCUUACUUUCAUAGCUUAUUUCUUUUACCUUCCAUUGUCAAACCGCCUAGAUAGCUUGCAUUUUACCAAUUAGUUUUUUUUACCUUAUCUUUCACACCUCUUUUAGUGUUUAUUUGGAUAGUUUCAACCAUAGUUUCUUUUACCUUUUCUUUUCAAACCUCCAACAAGAAAGAACCACAAAUUAGGAACCAACAUGAGUCAUCAUUCAUCUAGUGUUAAUGGCGAGGGUACUAGUCAUAAAGACCCUUUAUCUAGAAUCUUAGAUGAGUUGAGUUCCCUCAAGUUAUGGAAAGAAAAACAAGAGAGAAAAGAAAAAGGAAAAAAAAGAGUGGAAGAAAUAAGUCAAGAUGAAAGAAAGAAAAUAAGAGAGGAAGAAAGAAGAAAAAUAAUGAAAGAAAUGAAAAGAGAAAAACAUGCCUCCUAUAGUAGUCAUAACUCUUGCAAGAGCCUAAGUGAAGAACUUCGUGACUAUUACGAAGGAAGGCAUAGGUCACAUCUUAGAACUCACUCCCAUAGAAGAGAAAAGGAAAGAAAGCCUCAAGAGGCUAACAUUAACCUCUCAUACUUCCAUGGGAAGGACAAUGUAGAGGCUAACUUAGAUUGGGAAAUAAGGGUAAAGCAACAACUUAAAAAGAAGUCUACUUCAAAAUCUUAUGGCUCUCACUCUUAUCCAAAGAAAGACCAAGGUCAAGGCAUCUUAGGGGUGACACCUUCUAAGCCCAAAGAUGAUAAGGGGAAGGCAAUAGAAAAGCAAGCCCCUAAGGCUAGUAUGCAAGAGAAAACUAGCUCUAUAAAGUGCUUUAAAUGUCUUGGAAGAGGACACAUUACUUCUCAAUGCCCCACCACAAAAACCAUGAUUAUGAGGGGCCAAGACAUUUAUAGUAGCCAAGAUGAGGCUACUACUUCACCUUCCUCUAGUGAAAGUGAAGAAGCAAAAUGGGAAGAAUCUAGUGAAGAAAUCUACCCCCAAGAAGAUGGACAACCAUUAGUGGUUAAAGAGAAGUGUAAGGAGGUAAGUGUCUCCUCCAAGAGGUUAGCUAAGAAGGAAACUCAUUUUACAAUAAAGACAAACAUUAAAGAAACUUUUCCUCUUAGACAACCUCCACAUUUUCUCUUUUUUGUAAAAAGACACUUGCUAGCAUUGCCGCACCUCUUGGGCUUGGGUUUAUUCCUCAAGUAAAGAAGUUGUUGGAUGAGGGUUUGGUUCGCAAGAGCUUAAAUCCUUGUGCUUUUUUGGUGCCCAAAAUAGGUAUUAUUAGGCACCAAGUCCCUAAAAUAGGUGGUAUGAUGAAUGUUUUGAGUGGUGCAACCCUCUUUUGUAAAAUCACUCGUACACCUAACAUGUUCAUGGUGUGUGUACAUAGGGACCCAUUAGGUAGGUUUGUUCUUAUUUUUAGUUUCAAUACAAACUUAGGUACUCAUAUGGGACACCUUAGGUUUGUCAUACUUUUUGGUAGGAAUAAUCAAUAUGAAAAUACAGAAAAAGGUAUGUUUUAUUGCAUUACUUUUCUUAAUUUUUCAAAUAGUGAUCAACGGGUUCCCAUGAACCCUAAGAGAAUAAAGGUCAUUCCUGAGUGGCUUACUCCACCAAGUAUAAGAAAAAUUUGGGGCUUCCAUGACUUAACAAACUUUUACAAAAGGUUUGUCCCAUAUUUUUCUAUACUUGUAGCACCACUCAUUGAGUUGGUGAGAAACCGUGUUCCUUCAUGGGAAGAUGCCCAGGAAAUGGGUUUUCAGACCUUACCUUACUUCAACAUACCAAACACCACUAAUACAUGUGUUUUUGUUCUUUUUAUAGGUGUUGAGGGAAGGAGCCCAGAGUAUGAAGAACCUCGGGAUUUGAGGUCAAAUCCUUUCCAAGGUGGAGGGAAUGAUGCAACCCUACCCCGCAAGGGCAUUGGUUAGAAGACUCCAAGUAGAUUGGGCUAGAGAUCCAAGGAAAGGCCCUAGGGUUCUCAUAAGCCUUAGGGUAGAUUUCGAGCCCAUGGGCUAAGUAUGAGCCCGCUUAUCUUUGUAAAUAUUAGAAUAGGUUUUUCCUUCGUCAAGGCCUUGUAUUUUGGCCAUUCUAGUAGUAUAGGGUUUUAGCCUUGUAUUUCGGGGCAUUUUGAGUUGUCUUUGUAAUAAGGACUUUUUUUUUUAUUUUCAUGUUUUUUGUCAUGGGGGUGAGCUUAGCUAUUAUAGGGGUGUGUAGCUAAGCUCUAGCUUCUCAUCUCAAGGAGGUGAGCUUAGCUAUUAGAGAGGUAUGUGUAGCUAAGCUCUAGCUUCUUUACGAAUCUUCUUAAGGAAGCUUCUCAAGGAGGUGAGCUUAGUUAUGAGAGGGGUGUGUGUAGCUAAGCUCUAGCUUCUCAAGGAAGUUUUCUCAAAGAAGCUUCUCAAGGAAGUUUUCUCAAGAAAGCUUCUCAAGGAAGCUACCUAGUCUAUAAAUAGAAGCAUGUGUAACACUUGUUGUAACUUUGAUGCAUGAGAGUCUUGUGAGACAUCUUUCAAAGUUCCACUUCUCUCCCUCCUUUAUUCCUUCAAUUUCGUGCUCCCCCCUCUCUCUUUCUCUCCCUCUUUCUUUUCCUCCAUUGAAGCAUCCUUCCAAGCUUCUUAUCCAAGGCUCAUCUUGGUGGUGAAGCUCCUUCUUCCAUGGCUUAUUCCCUAGUGGAUGGCGCCUCCUCUCCCCUCUUCUCCUUUGUCUUCCGCUGCAUCUCCAUGGUGGAAAACCACCAUUAAAGGACCUCAUUGAAGCUCAAAGAUCCAGCCUCCAUAGAAGCUCCACAAGCAAGCUUCCAUCACUUUACACUUUCUAACAAUUUGAAGAGAUAUAUCUUUAAGUGCUUCUGGACAAUCUCCAUGGGAACUAUACUGAAAUGCCUUACAGAACAAUUUCAAAGAUUCUUCUUCAGUUAAAGGUUUUUCUAGCUUAUGCACCUCAACAAAUGAUGAUUUCCUACAAUAUUCUGCAACCUUCUCAUCCCUGGUUGUGAUUAAUAUCCUACUUCCAUUUUUAUUAUCAAUUACAGCAGAUUCAAUUUGAUCCCAAAAUUUUCCAUUCCAUACGUCAUCAAACAAGACAACAUACCUCUUGUUUCGCAAGCGGUUUCUGACUUCUUCUGUCAACGACUCGAUGGUAGAAACAUCCUUGGGAGGGUCCUCCAUUUUUUCUUUGCAAAGCUCAUUCAACAUAUGCCUCAGCAAUCCUUCAGCAGAGAAGCAUUGAGAAACUGUGAUCAACGCAUGGCACUCGAAAUCGUUACGCACCUGGUCAUAAACUUGCUUGGCAAGAGUGGUUUUUCCCACCCCUGCAAUUCCCACCACAGAGAUGACAGUGCGUUUUUCUCUUCCCUUUGUCAACCAAUUUUUCAAUAUACCUCUAGGGCCAUCAAGCCCCACAACCUCAUCUUCCUCAAUAAAGAGAGGAUCCCUUCUAAUUUUCUGCCAUGUGAUAUCUUGAUUUCCUCUAGAACUGGUUUGUCUUUGCUCUAAAGGAAAAUGGGUUUGGAAACCAUGUCUUUCAGCACGAACAAGGGAUUUAACAUCCUGAAUCUUAUACGCACUUUGAAGGAGAAGGAUUUGAGUUUUGAUGAAGGCAACAGCCUCACAUAGUAAAGCUGCACAACGAGGAUCAUCAUCAGGUUACUUAUCGUCACAGGAGAUGUUAUAUUCAUCGAUGACAUCUUCCAUGCGAAAAGCUGCUUCUCUCAGCCGCAUCACCCUUUCUUUUAUUCUAUGACGCCUUCCAUCAUCUUGUUCAGCUUCAGCCACUUUAUCAGCAUCAUUGAUGAAAUCUUGAAAGCUUUCAAGUUCAUCUGUAAUGUCUCUAACUUCUUUUGGGAGAUCUCUCAGCAUUUUGACAGCUUCCAAUAUUUUUGGAAGCGCAUGCUGACCAGCCAAGGACACUGCAGUUUCUGCCAUUUUAGUCUUGCUAGCUAGCUCUGUUUUUUAGGUUUGUUGUGAGUGCAAAACUUGAUGCUCUUUAACAUUAUAUAUAGCCAUGUCCGUAGUAAGAGGAGGACAAUUGAUUAAUAUUUAAUAUUCUUUGAUUCAGCAAGUUGGAUAUAUUGUUAAUUUAUAAAGUAGUUAUUUAUUCCAAUGUAUUGAAAUAUUCCAUUAUGGUUGUUGAACCAAUUAAUACGAAAACGCCAAAGUAAUAUUGGUUUGAGUCAUAAUAUUUUACAUUUCCACGUUGAAGUAUCAUCCACGUUUGAGUCAUAGAUAUGACCAGCGCUAGUUUCAGACAAAGCUGAACGUGUAUUCCAGCUACCCAAUUUGCCAUUGUUAAUGUUAAUUAUUUCUCACCGUAUCCAUACGAUAUCACACUACCCAAUUUUUGAAUAAGGAUGAAAACUAAUUAGGUUAGAAAAAACUAAUUAUUCGAUUCAAAUGAUGUUUGUCGGUUUUAUUUUCUAAGGAUAUAUAUUUAUUUUAUUUACCUUGCAAAUAUUAUUUUAAUUCAUAAAAUUAUUUUUCCUUAUUUAUUUAAUCACAAAAAUCUUAUUAUUUUUCUAAAAAAUUAUUUAUUUUUAAGUAAAAAAAAUUUAAUUUUUUUUACGAAAAAUUGAAUGUUACAUUCUCCAUUGCAUGUCACCCAUGACGAGUGAUUAAUAAGUUUGUCCCAUGCAUUGAUUAAUAAAUUUGUCACAUCCUUUUUAAUAAGUUUGUCUUAUAUUUAUAACAUUUUUUAAAAUUUUCCUUGUAAUUAUACUUCUCUCUUGUCUAAUGGUUUGUCAGUACAUUCUUUUUUUUUAAUGAUGGAUAUUUUUAGUCUAAAAAUAAUUAAUGAAAAAAAUAUUAUAGAUUGAGUUUUAUAAAAUAGAAUAAAUAUCAUUUUAAAAGUCUUAUAAAUAAAAAUGGAGACAAAAUAAUUAAUUUCAACUAAUAAAAAAUAAAGUUUGGAUGGCCUUAGCCUUGGGUCGACCCUGCCAUUGCUGAAAAGAGUAGGGAAAAACUCUUCGAAUACCUUUUAACCAUGAUCCGGAGUAAAAGAUGGUGUCCUUCAACACAACUUGAGUGUCAAAUAAAUGUUGCUCCCCUAAAGACGAUCAAGUUUGUUAGGUUCACACAGUGAACCUCCUAGGAUUCGAGGUCCAGGAAUGCCUCCUUAGAAGAGAGAAAGGGAGAAGAAAUUGCUUUUUUUAUUCCUUUCUUGCAUGGAGACGAUGAUAUUUAUAACAUGAUUGCAACAAGCUACCAGACAAACACCACGUCCCAAAAUACAAAAGCGAUAACGGAAAGCACUAAUGCUAUCAUGCCAUAACAAAAACAACCCCAGCACUAUGAUUCUAACAGAGCUGCCCCUCAGCACUAAGAACCUAACAGAAUACAAUAAAAAACAUAAUCAUCUCGGUGAGUCAUUAUCUACCUACCUCGUCCUGUUAGAGUUUCCUCUGUUUCCAUAUAUUCCAAACCAAAGCAGCCCAUACAAUUCACCAUCUCUCACCGUGAAUACCAUUUACUGUAAUAUAUAAAAUUUUGACACUUACUAUCGAUUCUUCUUAGUUUUUUUUUUUUUUUAUCUAGAUCUGAUUUGGCUUUUUUUAUGUAAUUUAUCUUUUGUUUUCUUGUUGUUUAUAGAUUUUUUUUCAUCAGAUAUUUGUUAUAGAUCAUCAUUUCGUGGCUCCUCGUGUUUUCCAUGGUUUUUUUUUUUUUGUUUUUGUUUUAGGUCAAAUGUUUUUUCCAACCCAUUUGGUUGACACUAAUCUUACUCACUGUGGAUAAUUGUCGUUCGUCCAAGACAAUUUCACACAUGAAAAAGAAAAAAACACGAUCCUCCUAUUAUGUUGAUUAUUUGUGUUUAUCUAAAGAUUAUUUUCCAUGCAUUUAGAUUUAAAGGAAAUAUUUAACAAUAACAACAAAAUAUAUAUAUAUAUAUAUAUAUAUAUAUAGAUUGAUUUAAAUAUUCACUUAAAAUAUUUAAAUAUAAAACAUUAUAAUUGUAUUUGAAAUUAAUUUUAUAGUUUUCAGAGAUCCUUUUAUAAUAUCAUGGAUUUAUAUAAUAUUCUUUCAAUUUCUCAUUUAUUGUUCUAUUUAACCUUUCAAUAAUUCAACACAAACAAUUGAUUUAUCAAUGGUGAUUUAUUUAAUAAAUUAAUGGUUGAAUCUUUAUAAUUAGAAUAAAAUAAUCUUUAAAUUUAUUCAAUCAAUCAAAUAUUAUUAUUUUAAAAACACUUUACAUUUUGAUUGUCAUUAAAAAAUUGUAAAAAUAUAAUAUAAUUCUCAAUAUCAUGUAACUCUUUAAUUUUUAGAAACUUAUUAUAUAAAUAAUUUUAAGAAUAUUUAUGAUCAACUAAAAAAAAUUACUUAUAUCUGUGAAUCAUGAUUCAAGGAAUUUUAGUGUAUGAUAAAAAAAAUUCCCUACCAAAUGCUCCAUUCUAUUUACACAUUUAUUUUAUUUUUAGAGGUAUAAUGUUAAAGCUACUGAUUAUUUUUUUUUCUGUUGUAAAAUAUAAUGUUAAUUUCUUAUAUAUGUGUAAAUGUCAAUAGUUUUGUUACUCAACACCAACCAAAUAAACUAUAAUCCAUGAUAAAAGAAAAUAGGUUUGAAAAAAAAAAUUAAUUUAAGAAGUAUGAGGCACCUUCCGGUGACCGCCAAGAACAGUACCACGAGCGACCCUGAUGCAACGCGAUGCAACCACCACCCAUGGCGGAGCAUCACCUUCUUCGUCGCCAUCUCCUCCGCGGUGUAAUUUCUUAUUCUUUUCACUCAAUUGAAUGGUUAUACUUCUGGAAUACAAAACUAGUGUUCAAAUGUGAAUUUUACUAAGAAAAUGCAUACAAAAUAACACAAAAGUUUGUAUAAAAUAGCACUCAGAAAGUGAUCGAUCAAUUACUUAUAACAGUCCCAUUUUAGGAAAUAUUGUUGUGUUAUUUUAUGAGAGUUAAAAUAUGUUUGUGAUCAAAAAGAGUUUUGAAAUUUUCAAACAUCAAGAAUUAAAAGGAAAAAAAAGGAGUGAAUAGAAAAAAACUAGCCAACUAAGAAACAAUUUAAAAAAAAAGAGUUUUGUCUUGCUAUUUAUUUAUUUGGCAUUGGUCCUCUAUUAAUAAAAAAUUUAAUUUAGUACUUUAAUUUUCAAACCGGCCAGUGCAAUUUGACCCCUUAAUAAACUUCUUGUUCUCACUGUUUGUUUUUUAAAUUUUAUAAACAAUUUAAUUUGUUCCUUUAUUUGAUUCAAUCUCAUCCCACUAUUAAUAAACAAUGUCAAGUGAAUUUGGACCAAAGAGAUCAAAUUGAAUCGAUUUGGAAUUAAGCGAUCAAAUUAAAGAUUUUAUUAUUAGGAGGAAAAAAUUAAAUUAAAUAAAUAAUGAAUGAGACAAAAAGAAAAAAUUAAGCCUUGAAAAAUUUACCUUACUCCAGAUAAGUGAUAUAUAAAUUGAUUAUAAUAAUAUAUAUUCAACCAUUAAUUUUUAUUUUUUUUGAAAAAUAUGGGAUCAAACCUGAACAUAAAAGUUUUGGUAUCAAAGUUGCUGAAGCACUAUGCUAAGAGGAUUAAAGUGCUAGGCCAAAAUAUAACAUGUCUUGUUACAAUACGAGUUCACCCCAAGCUUAACAUGUACAACCCAAAUUUUCACUCCAAUUCAAGUUCUAGAAGCAUAAUAUAUUGGAAACUGAAUUUAAUUAUUAUUUACUAUUGUAAUUGAAGGUGAAUAUAUCUUAACUCAAAAACUCUCUUCCACAAUUGAAAAUUCUAAAUCUUUAGAAUUUCUCAUUUAGGGCAAUCAUUAGGUUCAAGAAUAUCUAAAUUAUCGUAAUUGUUGAUAUUUAUUCCUAUAGAAUCUCCAACCUUGUUGCAUUAUAUCUUAAAUUCAAUCCUUAUUUCAAUUUCACAGUUGUCGAUAGGAAUAUACGAUCAACGCACUAUAUAUAAGUGACCAAAUGCCAAUUUAUAAAGGCAUUAAAUUAAAACAAAGACAAACAAUCAAUUUAAAAGAAAUGAACUUGAAUUAUAGAUAAGAAUUCAGAUUAAAUGAAGUUAACAAAAAUUUAAAUACACAUUUUAGAAAAAAGGGAAACAAGUGAAAGAGAAGAAGGAAGCUUAAAAAAUCAAUUUGAUGAAUCUUGCACUUUGAUGCCUCAUAUUCACUCAUGCAUCCACCAUUUCACGGGCCGCAAAAGAAAGAACUUCAGCCUCUUCGCAUUGUGUUGGUGUUAAUAACGCUAAAACGGGCGUAGUAAUUAACCGUCAAAAAACCACAAGAUUGGAACGUCGGAAACAUUGGAAUUGGAACACCUCUUACAAUCUUCCCUCAUUGCUUUCCUAAAAUUCAUGAUUGUACAAAGUGGAUCAAACUUCAAAGCAUAAAAAUUAGGAACAUUUAACACAAUCUAAUUUAUGAAAAGAAUCCACAUUAUUGUUCUUCAAUCGUAAUGAAACAUAAAAAAUCCACAACAUUUACACAAAUUAAAUAUAUGCUUACGACCCUAUAAAAACACCAAGUUAAUUUCUUCUUCAAAUGAUACAAUGAAAUUGUUCAAGUAUUUUAUCAACAUGGAAAUAAAAAACUCAAUCCAGGUCAACAUCUACCAAUUCCGAGCACAAUAAAAGAAAGGAUUAUAAUGGUGAGAAUCUUAUAAUGAAGAAACGUUAACUUUGGUUGGUGUAGACAUAUACUUGUUAGACAAUUCUAUCGCUAACUUGUACGUGAGAUGUUGUAGAGAAAGAAAAAUGAAGCAAAUACUAUAAGAGAAAAUGAGGCAAAAGUAAUUAUUUUAGGAAUUAGAUAAUGAUUGCAUUUUUUAUUGAAGAAAAGAAAAAGGCCACGAAUGUCAUUCUACAAAGUUAUAGAUGUGAAAAAGACGCACCUUCUAUUUUCAAAUUUGGACGCAUCUUAGUGAUGACUUCUGCCGAAUAUAUGCAAAGGUUCUUCAGCAUCCUCACUCCAGAUACGUACAUGGGGCACAUCUUGGAUGAUCCAGUGGUCUUCUCCUCCAUCAGGAGCAAUGCGCUGCUCAAAUUCAGUUGGCAUGUCGUCGAUAUAGA
rnacentral:lncRNA from 1 species